rnacentral:lncRNA from 1 species
AGCUAAGAACUUCAUUAAUGAUAUCAAACCCUGGAAAACAUAAUGGCGAGUUCAUGUCAAAGUAGUGGAAGCAACAAUCUAAGUUUGGUGGGAUAUCCUUAGAAAUGAUACUUACUGAUGAAACUUUGAGUAUACAAUCAUUUUUAACUAUUAUGUUUAAUAAGUGUUUAUCGAGAUUAUUAAUUCGUUUCAGUUUUCAUUAAUGAGUUCUUGCUAAAGUUCAACGAGAUCUUCCUAUUAAUGAGUGGAAGAUCUAACUUAAUUUAUAUCUGAAAGUAAGUUAUUAUUAUAUAAAAUAGCGAAAUACCCAAAGAUAGCACUAAAAAAGUUUUGGUCACAAAUAUAGAAUCUAAGAAUCAAAAUGACUAAAAUGUUUCAUUAAAGAGGUAAAUAUACAUUUAUAUCCAAACUUAGAGCUUAGAGUUAACGGGUGGAGAUUUGAGAUUGAGGAUUAAAAUGUUAUAAAAUAAAAAAUAAAUAUUAACAAUUUGAAAAUAAAAAUUUUAAAAAUAGUUUUAAAAAGUAUUUUCGAAUUAAAAAAAAAAAAAUUUGAAAAUAAAAUUAAAAUGAAAAUCGAAAAAAAAUAUUUCAAAAAAAAAAAUAGGAAAAGUUCGAAUUUGAAAACAUAUAAUCUAAAACAUUAUAUGUUUUAUUAUUAGAGUCUUUUUACCUAUUAAAUGAAACAUUUUGAUCACUUUCCUCUUUAUGGUCUAUUUUUUGUGGCCAAAACUUAAAAUAGUCUAUUUAUGAGAAUUGUCCUAUAAAAUAUGUAUAAUUAUAAAUCAUAUUAAAAUUUUGAGGUUUAAAAAAAUAACAAUAUAUUCGCGCAGACGCGCGGAUCAAAGUCUAGUUACAUUAUUAAACCUAAAUACUUAUAAGACAAGUAGUAAGUUAAAACCCGCCAACAUGAUCUCCAACUCCACCACAAGAAGAAUCCUCCACAUUGAUCACAAGAUUUUGUUCCCUGCACUGAUGCAUCCCAAAUUUAGAACAAGUGAAGGCCCGGUCUUUAUCCAGGUUAACUGCUUACCAUUUGGAGGCACCGCAGCUACAAACCGGAAUACCGGAUGGAUAAUUUAUGUUGCAUGUACCUUGUUUCCUCCAUGUGAGAUUUAAUUUACAAUUAUGUAAGAAAUAAAAUUUAACGGUUAAUAUACAUAAUUACGUAUCUUAACUGAUAUUGCCUCUAAUUGGAUAAACCAAACGAUGUACCUAAUUAAGUAAAGUACAAACUCCACACCUUCAGCAGAAUCAGUUAUCAAAGUUUCGAAAUAGGUAUUAAACAUUCUUUCCUGAAAUAACCAAAUAUGAAAUUAACCGAAUAUAUGAAAUAACCAAUUCUGUUCUGUAGGAUUCUGAUUUCCCCCUUUUGGGGUUGUACAAUGAAUAUUAUUAUUUUAAAAACAGAAGAAUAUACGAAUACCAAACCCUAUGCAUUACUUUACACUUCUCCACCAUAAGCACCUAAAAAUGUAUUAUGUUCAUUUGAUUCGAAUGCUUGAAUUCCAAAUUGAUCAUACGAUUGGUCUUCAAAAUCCUGAUAACUAAUUAAAAAUGAUAACGUAAAAAAAGUCCUGUUCAUUUCCACGUCACAACAUAAAUAUGUCAAGCACUUUUAUUUUUGUUAUGAUUUUGCAUUAGCUAAAUAACUUCUUUAAAAAAUAUAUUAUAGCUUCGAUUAAUAAAAAUGUGCAAUAACCUACGGUUCUGCUUUUUCUAGAUAUCUUCUUUUUGUUAUUUGUUUUCUUCAAGUUUAUAUUAGCAAUUCGCAAAGAAUAAGGAUCAUUGAUAAAUGUUUGCAAAAACUGCGUUAGAAAUCGUCUUCCCCUCAUUUACCAAUUAAAACCAGAAACAAUGGAACAUUUUGUAUCCGUAUAAGCUAUCUGACUUUUCUUGUGGAAUAGUCUUCAAAGAAAGAACUAUAUAAAUUACCUUUAGUGAUGUGACAUUGUAUACCGUUCUUCCCAAAAUCUCAUGUAUUCACAUUUACAUUUGAGGAAAUUGCCACGAACCUUCCUAUAAAUUUUCCCUUUCCCGUAGCAUAUUAAGAAAGGUCGGUGGAAGCCUGGAAGGGAUGAAACCUUUUGUUUACUAAAAAGAAGAGGGGGGAGGGAUGAAACUUGAAAAUGAGAUAGGCACUAUUGUAUUGAGUUUAUAUUAAUAAAAAUAUAUAUGAUAAUCUCUGUUUGUAUAUAUAUAAAUAAAAAAACAACUCUGUCAAUACCUUUUUGAAUAAAAAGAGCUAUUCAAUUCAUGAAGAUAUCAUACAUAUUACAAAAACAAAAAGAUAUCAUACAUAUUUCUAGGAAGGUUUUCACAAUUUUUUUUUUAAAUCGUUCUUUUAAAAAAAAUCAAAGAAAUAAUUUUCAGAAACAAAAAUUCAAAAAGUUCAAUUUUCAUUCAGAAAAAAAAAUUCGAUUUUUUUAAAAAAAAAUACUUAUUUAAAUAUUUCUAAUAUAUCUAUAAAGUAUGUCGUAAUUUUCAUUUACUUCUUUAAUAAAAUCUAUUUUGGUUAUUCCGAUACAUGUACUAUUUUAUGAUAAAACGGUUUUAGGACUACUAUAAGGUUUGUUUUUUGUCAGCGGACUAUCAUAAGGUAUUUCGCAUUUAUAUUUGAUUGUAUAUUUGUAUUUAUUUGAUAUGUUUCAUUAAGAAACAUAUAUUCGUUUCUCAAGUAAUCUUUGUUAAAAAACCUUGGUAAAAAAUAAUCUGUGUUAAAAGCAACAUGUGAAAACAAUAUUGUAGGAGAUAGAUUUUGCUUUCUUUUCGAAGUGCAUUAGACAAUGAAUAUUUAUAGUUUAUACUAUAAAAAUGACAUUUCAUAUUCAUGUAAACAUAUCUUAAUUUUUGAAAAUGACAAAUUUCAUUUGAUAUUCACUUCUAAAUUAUGACAAUGCUAAAUGAAAUUUCAUAUAUAUAUAUAUAUAUAUAUAAAUUCAGAUUUUAAAUAUUAAAUGAUACGAUAUACAUGUAGAUGCUGUGUCAUUACCCAUAGUGAAAAAUGUAAUAAAAAGGUAUCUAGAAGAUACUCAAUAAAUGAUACGAUAUACAUAUAGAUGAUGUGUCCCUUAUUAAUAUAUAUAUUUUAUUGAAUUAGGGUAGAAGGAACAUGAAAAUUUUAUUUUUGAUAAAUUCUCUGAACCUGAACCAUUCAUAUGUCUGAUUUCCUGAAACACUUCUGAGCCUGAACAAUUUAUAUGUCUAAUAUCCGAGAAGAAUCUUCUUUCCAUUAUAAUCUUUCAUUUUUAUUGUAACAAUGUUUUGUUUCUUUUUUGAUAAGUAACAAUGUUUUGUUUCCUUUCUAAGGAUAAUAUUAGUUAAAUAAAAAUAAAUGAAAGUGUGAAGAACCAUUUUAGCUAACUUUUUCUGGUUCUUUUUUUUUCUUGGCAACACUUUUUCUGGUUCUAAACAUGUAGUUAUUGCAUGAAAAGAAAACCCUAGGCUUAUAAUAAUUAAUAACGCCCUUAACGUUGACGCUAGUACAAUGCUAAUUAAGAUGGAUACUUUUUGUAUAUAUAUAUAUAAACACUAGCACGUGUGGUAAACCAAACAUUAUCAUCCAGCGAAAUAAGUAAAGGAAACCAUUACGAUAAUAUUUUUUUCAAAUAUAUAAUGGGGGCAACGUCAAGUGUUUGUUUGUUUUUAACGUCAAGUGUUACUCCUGAAACGAGCAAAGAUGUAAACAAUAGCUACAACUAGGAACAUAAUGAUAGCAAAGUAGGGAGGAAACAUGGGCAUAUUAGCUAAGUAAGCGGAGAUAACGAUUAGAAAGAAUGAGAGACAAUCAUUAUUUAAAUUUAUAGUUAAAAUAGAUUUGUUAUUAAUAUCUUUAUUAUUAUUUAGAAAUGUUAUACAUUAAGUAAACUAAUAUAAACAAUAAAAAAAUUAUUUGAAUAUAUGGAUCUAGAAGUCUAGUAUGACUAUUUUGUAGUAGAUAAAAAUGAUACUUCUCUUUUAAUAGAGAACUAGAUUUUGACCCGCACGCCCGUGCGGGUGUAUUUUAAAAGAAAAUAUGAUGCUAUUUGCUUUUUAUGUCACUAUUUAGGGUUGGGCAAAAAACUCGAAUUCGAAGAAUCGAACCGAUCCCAAUCCAAAUAAGUAGUACUAAAUUCGAACCAGAAUUGAUUAAAUAUCCAAAUUAUUCAAAAUUUUGGUAUUUGAAGAAUUGAAACCUAAUCCGAUCAGAAUCGAAUUAUUUUUAAUAUAUAUAAAAACAUCCAGGAUAUAUAUGAUACUUUUAAGUUCGCAUAAAUGCUUGAAAAUAUAUACAAAUAAUUAAACGUAAAUAUCUUAAAUAGUUAAAAAUACUCAAAACUCCAAAAAUACUUAAGUAAUUAUUAAUUCUCUAUCCAAAUAUUUAAACCAAACCUAUUUAAAUUGGUUAUUCAAAUCAAAACCAAAUCCUCAAAGAUAUGAACUGAACACGAAAUCCCAAAAAACCCGAAAACGAACCCGAACGCCCACCCAUAAUCACUAUUAUAUAUAUAUCCAUAUAUGUGUUAUCAAAGGUUACAAAAUAUGUGUUAUCCUAUAAUUAAUCGUAUUUUAUACGUACCAUCAAAUAAAUUUUCUUAUAAUUAAUAAUAUUUUAUACGUACAAUCAUAUAAAUAAUCACAUAUAUUAUAUUUUAAAAAUUUAAUGUGAAAUAUAAAAACCAUAAUUUAAGUUGGUGUUUGAAAUUGGGCUUUGUAUUGUAUUUUUAUUAUAUAUAUUGGAAACAUUUUUAUAAUAGUUACUGGAAAAUAUGUUGGUAAAAAUCAAAUUUUGAAUAUAUGUAUAUUUUUGAAUGAAUUUUUGAUAUAAAUCAAUUUUAAAUUAUUAUUUUGAUUUGAAUAUAUAUAUUAAGUAACAUAGACCCAUUACUUUUUAAUAUAAUGUAAUGGACUUUCAAUUUUUUUAUUAGCAUAAACCCAUUAUUUUUUUUCUAACUUACUACUAUUCAUGUUUCCAAACAGUACUAUUUUUUAAACUACUAUCCAUAUUGCCAAACAAUCUCAUUUUGUACUUGAGUUUUAAUAAGAUAGAUAAGUCUCAGUGUUUAUGACUCAUGCUCGAUUCAUUUAUGGCUUAAUUUUUUAUUUAGUUUUUUUUAAAAAUAUAUACUAGAUUUUGACCCGUGCAACCGCACGGGUGUUUGUUUUCAAUUUUCUAUACAUAAAUUAUUGUUUUAAAACAUAAGUGAUAUAUAUUUUUAAUGUUAAUCAUAUACUUAAAUAUUUAUAAACUAUUUCAAAUAUAACAAUUUUAUAAUUUACAUGUUAUAAUUAAUUAAUUUUUUAAACCUUAUGUAUUUGCUUCUUCUUAUUAUAUAUUUAUCUUAUUGUAUUUGCAUUUAGUUAUUAAGCAAAUUAAUAUAUUCAUGAGAAAAUAUAUUUAAAAAAUAUUUUGUAUUUAAUUUAUGCUAAAUUCUGAUCCGCAUUUCAAAACUGAAUUUUUUUUACCAAUAUUUUUAUGCUUAUUCAUUUUAGAUAAUUUAUUAUUGUAUUUAUAAAAGUGUAAGAUAUGUUAAUUUUUAGACAUGUAUUAUAUAGUUUGUUAAUUUUAAGUCGUUCUAUCAUCAUAUUAUAUUUUAAAUAAAUAGUUUAUAUUUAUGAAAAUAAAAUUUAUAAAUUUAUCAAUUGAAUAUAAUUUUAUCAUAUUUAUUUUAGUAUAAUAAUUAUAUUUUAACAUGAUCAUGACUAUAAAAGUAGAUAAAAUAGGAUAUAAUUUAUUUAUUUUAAUUUCUAAACUAUAACUUAAAAUACAUUAAGUUAUUGUUUAAAUAUUACACAGAUUUAUUAGAAUUUUUAAAAUGUAAUAUAUAAAUAUAUAUAUUAUAUUUAAAAUGAAAAUAUAUUAUGAUUAAAGUAGUUACAAAGAUUUUAUAUUAUUAACUUUAAAGAAAUACAUGUUAAUUUUUAUACAUGUAUUAUAUAGUUUGAUAAUGUUAACCCAUCGUACCAACAUAUUAGAUUUUAUUUUUGAACAUAAAUAUUUUAUAAUUACGAAAAUAAAAUAUAUAAAUAUAUAAAUUUAAUACAAUUUUAUUAUAUUUAGAUCAAUAUAAUAAUUUUAAUUUAAUAUGAUUGAUUAUGAUUAUAUAAUAACUAAAAUAUUAUAGAUUUUUUAUUUUUCAUUUUAUAUAACUGAAUAUAUUAAUGUAUAAUAAUAUUUUAAACUAAUUUCGAAAUUAAUAAAAAUAUUUAAAUAUAAUUUUAAAAAUGAAGAUCUUGUAAAAGUCUUUUAAAACAGAUUUGUUAGCAUUUUAAAAUAAAUAUAUUUAUAUUUAAAUUUAAAAGAUAUCAAAAGAUACUAUGAUUAAAAUAUUUUUAAAAUUAUAUUUAUUAUUAGUCUGAAUUAAAAUAUAGUAUGAAUUUCUAUGAAUAGGUUCAUUAGGUCCAUUUUAAAAAAAUCACACAUGAAUUAAGGUUGUGACUUCUGUUUUAAUAUAUAAGAUUUUGUGAGUUUAUUAAUAUAUAUAUAUAUAUAUAUUUAUAUAUAUAUAUAUAUAUUAUUGAAUUAGGGUAAAAGGAACAUGAAAAAAUCAUAUUUGAUAAAUUCUCUAAACCUGAACAAUUUAUUCUAAUUUCCUGAAACUCUUCUGAGCCUGAACAAUUUAUAUGUCUAAUAUCCCGAGACUCUUCUUUCAAUUAUAACCUUUCAUUUUUUAUUGUUACAAUUUUUUGUUUCCUUUCUUAGGAUAAUAUUAGUGAUACAAAAAUAAAUGAAAGUAUCCAUUUUUGGUUAAGUUUUUCUUGUUUUUAACAUGUAAUUGUUGCAUGAAAAGAAAACCCUAGGCUUAGAACAACGCCCUUAACGUUGACGACUUGACGCUAGUAUGUAUAAUGAUAAUAUGAUGGAUUCUUUUUUGUAUAUAUAUACACUAGCACGUGUGGUAAAUCAAACAUUAUCAUCCAGCGAAAUGAAGAAUAAGUAGAAACAUAGUGGACGAUAAAUAAAGGAAACCAUUACGAUAAUAUUGUUUUUUCAAAUAUAUUUUAUCAACGUCAAGUGUUUGUUUGUUUUUAACGUCCAGUGUUACUCCUGAAACGAGCAAAGAUGUAAACGAUAGCUACAACUAGGAACAUAAUGAUAGCAAAGUGGGGAGGAAACAUGGGCAUAUUAGCUAAGUAAGCGGAGAUGACGAUUAGAAAGACUGAGAGACGAUCUAAAACGAAAGCCAGAACUGGACGUGUUCGGGGAAACACCGCGUUCGCCAAAAGGAAGAGAGAGAAAGCUGCCUGGUUGAGGAAGCAUUGGAUAUGGAUGCUGGUGCUUAGGUUUGGGCGUUGAGACCACGUCGAUGUGUAGCUUGGUCCAACAGCAAGGAAAUAGGUUAGAACGCAUAAGCUUAGACGGUCCAUUGCGUGGAAUUCACGUGGAAGUGGGCCAGGUGAUGCAGAAAUCCUAAUGGAAGGAGAUGUUGGUGGAAGUGAGUGAGCCGCCGACUGAAAAAAUAGCUGAAACAUCUGAAAUAGAAGAGUCUGAAUACUCUGACUUGGUGGGUCCGACCAUUGAAAACGUUGCUGGAUCAUCGGACAUGGCAGGGUCAAGUUCCUCUGGCUUAGUAGAUCCGACCAGUGAAAAAAUUGCUGGAACAUCGUAAAUGGAAGGGUCAGGUUAUUUUGACUUGGUGGGUCCGACCAGUGAAAGAAUUGUUGGAUCAUCGGAAAUGGAACGGUCUGGUUCCUUUGACUUGGUGGAUCCGACGACUGAGAAGCUCGCUGGUACACUAGAAUCGAGAUGGUAUCAUCGAGUGGAGGUGGGUGACUCGGAGACUGAGACUGAGGAAUCGUGUUACUAUGUUGUUCUUCCUGAGUUGGGUGAGACGGAACUGAAUGAGACUGAUUGUUACUCCAACCCGGUGGAGGUGGAUGAGCGGGAAAUGGAGGAACCCUCAUAGGAAACUGAGGGUUCAGGUAGUUCUGACCGGGAAGAGUUGAGUGCAUGGGCGAAUGAGUGUUUUGUUCUUGCUGGGUUAGGUGACUAGGAGGUGGAGGAACCCUCACCAUAAAUGGAAGAAUGGGGUUGAGUGGAUGUUCUGGCUGGGUUGGGUAAGCCGGAGAUGACGAAGUCUGAUUGCUCUGACUCGGUGGAGUUGAGUGGCCGAGCAACUCAGAACCCAUUUCGUUCACCGGAAAUGAAGGGUUUGGAUUGCUCUGAUUUGUUGGUGGUUGAUGACUAGAACAUACACGACCAUGCGAACCGAGGGCAAUGAAUACCAAAAUGAUAAUACGAAAAAUCAUGUUUGGAAAAUGUAUAGAGAGAGUUGAUUGAAAUGAAUGUGCAAUAUAGUUUUUUUUCCUCCUUCUAUAUAUAGCCGCGUGGGGACACGCAGUAGCUAGCACAUACGAAACUUCCUACCCCUUUCCUUCACAAAUGUUUGUUAUUUUUGAGAAAGGGUUCUUUCCUGCACGAAUGUUUUUUUUUUUUUUUUUUUUUGCUAACCGAGUAUCCUGGCCCCACCGAGGUGGUCCAGACUAGAGACCGAAGUGAGCAAGGACGCUGCCAGGGCGUCACCAUGUGGCUCACCGUGUAACGGUCUUCGGUCUCGGAUGCUGCAGCCCAUAUGUAAAUUCCGCAGUGGCCAAGGCUCGAACCCAGGGGCGGGCACUCCAGCUGGAGCUCCUAUACCACUAGACCAAAGCAACUUGGUUCCUGCACGAAUGUUUGGAUGAUAUGUUCUUCUUUUCGUUAAUUGAAACGAACGCUGCAGUUUAAAUUUUAAUAAACUUACUAGAUUGUCACCCGGGUUUUCAAAACACAAAAUUUAAGUUUAAUAAUUUUUUUUUACAUUUCUGUUUAUAUAUGUUUUUUUUUGUUUUUUUUGUUGAUAAAUAUUUUAUCUUUUAUGAAAAAAUAUUAAUUCUAAAAAUAAAAUAUGUUCAUUUCGUUGACUGCUUAAAAUAUGUUCAUUUCGUUGACUGCUUCCUGGUAGAUGACAAUCGGCCACCUGGGAGAUUUAAGGUCAAAAGCUGACGUAUUUUUUCUUCUUCGAAUUCCCCCGCUAUUAUGCAUAUGAUAUACCGAUAUUUAAAUAUAUUUACACAAAAUAACGAUAAAAGUAUGAAUAGUAAAGCUUUAUGACAAAAUAAAAUAUGUUCAUUUCGUUGGAUUUUAGUAACGUGUUACAAUACUAAUUUGUUAGAACUUAAUAACAUGAUUACUAGGUUAAGAUUCGCACUUUGCACAGAAUAAAUAUUAUAUAAAUUAAUUUUAUAUAUUAUAUAUUGUUUUAUAUAUUAUUAAAAUAAUAUAUAUAUAUAUAUAUAUAUAUAUUGAUAAUUAAAAACUCAGUAAAUAUUACAUAUAUGAUUAAAUUAGUGUAAACACAGAAAUAAAUUUUAUUAAUUCAAAAAAAAACUUUUUAUCUAUUUUAUAUGAUAUAAAAUUAAGUUUUAAUGAUAUUAACAUAGAUAUAUAGUACAUUUUUAAUAUUGAUAUCUGUUAAAUAAUAUUUUAUGCUCAUAUUGUUUUUUGAUCAUUUGUAUUUUUUUGUAACAAAAAUUUUGAAUCACAGAUAACAAUUUUUUUGUGGGAUGUUUAAUAGUUUUAGUCAUUUAUAAUUUAAAAGACAUUAUGAAAAGUUUUAAAACUAAAUAUUAAGUUGUCAAUAUUUGUUUAAAAUUUUAUCAAAAAAAAUCAAAGCAAAUUUCGAAAUUAAAAUACAUAUGUAUUUUUAUAUGGUAAAUAAUUUAUUUUAUAAUAUAUUAAUAUUUAUUAAAAGAGACUUCUUAUUAUAUAAUUUUGUAAUCAUUUAUAUCUUGUUAUAACAAAAAAAUUUAAACCAUAAAAAAUUCAAUGUGAGAUUUUUGACAAUUGUAGUCAUUUAUAUUCGUUUUUAAAAAUUUUAAAUAUAAAAUAUACAGAAAAAUCUAAAAUUUUACUAUAUAGUUAAUAUGGUUGUUUAAUUUAUUUUAAUAUGUUAAAAUUUUAAAAAUGAUAGAGAAUAGACUAAUUUUUAUCAAAUCAUUAUUAUUCAAAAUCAUUAAUCAUAUAUACUUUAGCCAUAUUUGAUAAUUCCCUUAUUUUUAUUUAAGAAAACAGUGAACAACAUUAAUAAUAAAAAACUUAUUAUAUAUUUUGAUGGACCAACAUAUUUUUAAAGAUUUUAAAAAUAAUUAUGGUGAUAAUAUGUGGCUACAAAAAAUGUUAUAAUACUUUUCUUUUAAUAUAUAUGGGAUGUGAUGUAAAAGAAGAUGUCAAAAAGUAACAUGAUUUUGUGAUAUUAAAAAUUUCUUUCUCUUGAUAUUUUAUAUGAAGAUGUCAAAAAUUUUAUAUGAAAAAGACAAUUAUUUGUGCAUACAGUAAUGUAAUGAUUUCUUUCUCUUGAUAUGUUUUUUUUUAAAACAGAAUAUCAAAAUUUAAUAAAUUGUAACUUUAAUAUAUUUAGCAACAACUUUGAAUUUUAACAAAUAUAUUUAAAAAUAUUUUUAAGAUCUUGUUAUAAUAGAAAAUAAACCAUGUGUUUAUUUUUGAAAUAUUAUUUUUUUAAAAUACAUUAUGAGUAAAAUCAUUAACCACAGAUUUGACAUUAUUAUUUUAAAAGAAUUCUAAGAAAUCAAAUAGUAACGUCAUGUUUCGUAAAUAACACUUUAGGUAAACAUUAAUUAUAUAUGAUGAUUAUUUUGAUAAGAUAGAUAUUUUUUAAUUGGUUAGUAAAUUAUAGUUUCAACUGACAUAUUAUUUGUUGAACUUUUAUUUGUUCAAAAGAAAAUAAAUUACAGGUUAUUUGCUUAAAAUAAAAAAACUGACAAUUUAUCAUUUUGGCACUAAAAGUUAACUUCCUACAUUUUGUAAGGCAAAUAAGGAGGAAUGUCAAACCAUUCUUAGGAUUUUAAAGGAAUAUGAGGCUAUCUCGGGGCAACAAAUAAAUUUUCAGAAAUCUUCAAUUCAAUUUGGGCAUAAGAUUAAAGAACCAAAUCGUCAAGAAUUGAGAGAUGUUUUAGGAAUUCAAAAUAUAGGAGGCAUGGGAUCCUAUUUAGGCUUGCCAGAAAGUCUAGCAGGAUCUAAGGUACAAGUAUUUGGUUUUGUUCAGGAACGGUUGAAUAAUAGAGUUAAUGGAUGGACCUUUCGAUUUUUUACUAAAGGAGGAAAAGAGGUAAUUAUUAAAUCGGUAGUUACGGCUCUGCCCAACCAUGUAAUGUCUGUUUAUCGAUUACCGAAGACUACUGUUAAAAAAUUAACAAGUGCAGUUGCUCAGUUUUGGUGAAGUCCAGGAGGAAGUUCUAAAGGUAUGCAUUGGAAAUCAUGGGAUAAAUUAUGUGAAACCAAAGAAAAUGCUGGGUUAGGUUUCAAGGAUCUUAUGGAUUUUAAUACGGCAAUGCUUGGAAAGCAAUUAUGGAGACUGAUUGAGAAGCCAAAUACCCUUUUCUCAAGAGUCUUCAAAGGACGGUAUUACAGGAAUGCUUCACCCCUGGAACCGAUUCAGUCUUCUUCUCCGUCAUAUGGCUGGAGGAGUAUUAUUUCUGCUAGAUCUCUGGUUUGUAAAGGACUAAUUAAAAGGGUGGGAACAGGUUCGUCUAUCUCUGUAUGGAAUAAUCCUUGGAUCCCAGCCACUCGCCCGAGACCAGCAAACAAAAAUUUUCCCAACUUUUAUCCGGACCUCACAGUGGAUUCCCUCAUUAAUUCGGAAUCUCGCUCAUGGAAUUUACAGGCAAUCAGGACUCUAGUGGAUCCUACGGAUGCAAAAAUUAUUGAAAGUAUUCUUUUAAGUAGGAACCAGUUUGAGGAUAGGAAUGGAUGGCAUUUUACUACUAAUGGAAAAUAUUCAGUCCGAUCAGGUUAUCAAGUGGAACGAGUCUAUCCUGAUAAGGAAAAACCACCAGAUUUUUAUGGCCCUACAGUGGAUAUACUUAAAGCUUUCUGUUGGAAAGUUCGGUGCCCCCCAAAAAUAAGACAUUUUUUAUGGCAACUUCUCUCGGGAUGUAUAUCGGUAAUGAAAAAUCUCAAGGCAAGAGGGAUACAAGGAGAUAUAUGUUGUGCUCGAUGCGGAGAUCCGGAAGAAUCAAUUAACCAUGUAUUUUUUGAAUGUCCGCCGGCACGCCAAGUGUGGGCAUUAUCCAAGAUUCCGUCGUCUCCUAAUAUCUUUCCUAUCACCUCAUUAUUUGCUAAUAUGGAUCAUCUUUUUUGGAGAGUUCAGCCAAAGAUGGAUGACCAUCAGUUUGCAUGGAUUUUAUGGUAUAUUUGGAAAGCCCGAAAUAACAAAGUUUUUAGUAAUCUGGAUAUUGAUCCGAGGGAUACUCUUCAAUUAGCUGAAUUAGAAUCAUCACUUUGGGCAGAAGCACAUGUGGGAAAUGAUCCUACGAGGGAGCCUUCGGUACAGACCAGUUCCUCCCUAGCAACACAAGGUCGAUGGUGUUUCAUAGAUGGUUCAUGGAAAGAUAAGGAUUCUUUUUCAGGGCAAGGUUGGUAUAGUACUUUACAGGGGUUUGAUGGUCUGUUAGGGGCAAGGAAUGUAAGGGCAUGUCUUUCACCCCUCCAUUCGGAGGUAGAGGCUUUGAUUUGGGCAAUGGAAUGUAUGAAGAAUUUAAGACAGUUACAGGUAACGUUUGCGACGGAUUGUUCUCAAUUGGUGAAGAUGGUUUCAGAACCAGAAGAAUGGCCAGCAUUCGAAAGCUAUUUGGAAGAUAUCAAACUUCUCAAAAGAAGUUUCCUCAACUCAGACAUCGUUCAUGUUCCUCGGACGGCGAACUUUCGGGCGGAUAGCUUAGCACGCAAUGCUAGGAAACAAUCGUCCUUUGUCGUUCACAUAGAUGCGGAGUUACCAACUUGGUUUACAGAGUCAACAUGAGUCUGUAAAUUCUUUGCUGUCAAAAAAAAAAAAGAAGUUAACUUCCUACAAGAAAGGACUGCUUCCUGGUAGAUGACAAUCGGCCACCUGGGAGAUUUAAGGUCAAAAGCUGACGUAUUUUUUCUUCUUCGAAUUCCCCCGCUAUUAUGCAUAAGAUAUACCAAUAUUUGAAUAUAUUUACACAAAAUAACGAUAAAAGUAUGAAUGGUAAACCUUUAUGACUUACCUGUUUUACGAGCACAUCCACAUGGCCUACAAUCUUCAACUAAGUAGGAAAUCUAAAGAAUAGUAAUACUCUAAUAAAUAUAGUUAUUUAAUUAAAAUUCAAUGUAUAUAAAAAUCUGAACUACUUAGAGCACCCUUAUUGGUGCAGUAUGUUAAGUGAGCUUCUUAAUUAAAAAAAAAAUAUUUUAAUAAAGUUUAGUUAUUAAGUUAAUUUUAAUGUUUUGAAAAAUUUGACACAUGAUACUUUAAAUUCAGAAGAGUAUUUUAAAAGCACUCUUUUAAAAAAAUUUUACUGUCUUUUUCCUAAUUUCUACAUUUUUUCUUUUUUUAUUACUUAGAUACUCAUACUCAUUGAGUAUCAAUUAAUUGAGGUGCUCUUAGAAUAAAUGCAGUGAAAAUACAAAGAUGAGUUCUUAAAAAAUAAAUCUAAAUAAUACAAUAAAAAGAACAAAGGAAGAUAGAGGAAAAAAAAGAGAGUUGAGAAACAGAAAUUUGGGAGAACUCUUCCACUACAUGAUAUUUUAUUGGACUGAUUUUCUUUAAAUUUAAGUUACAUUUAUUAAAUAAAUUAUACCAUUAUAAUAUACUGAGGAUACUAUAUUGAGAAACCACACUGAUGAUGAUGUUCUUACAUAUAAUGAUAUAAACACAGUAUCUAUAUGGUAUUUCAAAGUUUCUCCCUUGAAAAAUUACUGCAUUUCUCUAUCUUACCUAGUAAGUAUCUAGCUAAGUCAAAACCAAUGUGUAUGAGUAAGACAUUCCUUUUCCCUUUUUUUUGUUGUCUUCUGGUUACCAAUGUGUUCGAAUAAGACUGAUGUCUUAGUUAGAGUCUAUGACGCGUUUGUUUACGUCAUCAUCCUAAACAGAUUCAAUCAAGACUAUUACCAAACUCAAAAUUUUACGUCUAUAUGAACCAAAUAGGAAGAUUGACUCCGGACACUACGUAUAAGACUAUCUGAUUUUUUCUAUUUUGAGUAUGAAACACCUGUGCAAUCACAAUUUUUUUUAUGUUUUGUAUUUCUUCAAGGUUUGUUCUAAUUGUUUUUGGAUUAUUUAUUUUGAAAAAAACGUAUAUUAAUUUGUAAUCAAUGACGUCUCAAGCUUUACAUAGACUUUGUUAAAAAUAAAAUACACAAUUAGUUUAAUAAUUUUAUAAAUUAAUAAAUUUAAAAUAAGUUUUUAGAAAAAUUAAAUUGUUGCAUUGUAUAAUUGAAGAUUUCUAUUUAAACGAUAACAUUCUUCUAGCUAAAGUUACUCGAUACUAUAUUUCAAAUGACAAACUAAAACUGAGAACUUAUUUUUUUCGCUUUAUGAGAAUAAUACGUGUUUGCCUGAUUUUCUAGUUGGUGAAGAAAAUGUUUUAGUAUAUAUUUAUAAUAAAAUCAGUUAAUAACAAAUCCGAACAUUUAAUCAAGUUAAAUUGUAACUUUAAAACUAGAGUCUAGCCCGCAUAGUAACAUGUUUUAGUUCUAUUUAUAUUAAUUAAAUUAAACUAAAUUAAAUAAAUAUUAAAAAUGUUAUUUGAUUUUUGUGCUGGAAUUUCAAGAUAAAAUGUUAUUUCACAUGAAAAUGUUCUAUAAAUUUAUGAAAAUUUAUUUUAUUAAAAUAGAAGUACUUUUAUAAACACCCCCUUAAAACUAUAAUUUAUAAACCAACCCUAACUAACUAAUCCUAACUUUAAUCACUAACUGUAUUUUCUCAAUUUAAUACAUAACUAGGUAACUUUCCUCUCCUCAUGCGCGGAUAAAUAUUUAUAGUGUAAAAUACAUAAUAAUUGUUUAGUAUUUUACUUUUAUUUUUAUAAUUUAAACUGAUUUAUAAUACAUAUCUAAGGAAAAUAAGUAAAUUUAUUUUGAAAUUUUAAUGUUAUUAUCUUAAUUAAACACAUGACUAUGAUAUACAAAAUUUGAGUGGUUUAAUUAUUAUAUAUUUGAUUAAUUUUGUUAAUUUUGUAUAGUUGAUUUUUUUACAUAUAUAAAUAUUUCUAUAAAUUUAUGUAUAAUUCAAUAGAUGUAGUUUUGGAAAACAAAUAGUAAAAAUGAAAAACGAAUUUUGUAGUUUGAUUUUUUUAUUUAUAAAUUUAAGUCAUUUUGUAGUUUACAUGUAAAAGAUUAUAUAUAAAAUUAUUCUAAACAUGUUUCAAAAAAUAUUAUUCUAAACAAUAAUGUAUUGUUGACUUAAUUAAACUUAUGGUUUUGACUAUUAGAGUUUAGAUCAGUUUGAUGAUCUAUAACCAGGUUUUUAUGAUGAUUUUAUAUAUUAAUUAUAUUUAUGAUUUUGAUAGUCUGAUGAUUUAUUUAAUUUAUGUUUAAAUCGUGAUAAGAUUUUGUAUGAUUACACUAAUUGGAGUACAGAGUGACAUUAACUAACAUAAGAAAUAAUUUUGAAGUCUCAUGCAUGAAUAUGAAUAUUUAUAAAAUGAUUGAAUCAUAAUUAGUUAAUAUUUUGCUUUUAUUUUUUAUAAAUUAGAAGCCGUUUUGCAAUUUAUUUUUAUGAAAAUAAAAUAUAAGAUUAUUAUGUUAUUUAAGAUAUUUGUCAAAGGGGACCUCUUAAUAUAUAUAUAUAUAUAUAUAUAUAUAUAUAUAUAUAUAUAUAUAUAUAUAUAUAUAUAUAUAUAUAUAUAUAUAUAUAUAUAUAUAUAUAUAUAUAUAUAUGUAUAUAUAUAACUAUUUUGGGCGAAAUUUGCUCUUUUUCUAUCUAUAUAUAUUGUGAAAUUUACAAGAAGCCAAUUAGACAAAAAAUUGUAAGUCAUAGCAAAUCUCUUCAAGAUAAUUAAACGAUGAAAUCAUCAUAAACUCUAAUCUGCAUUGUGUUUGAAAUCAAUGUGUAGGUGGCGCAAUGUCCGGACUUAAAUGACGCCUAAAGCACACUAUAAAAAUAAUAUCCUUUAACUAUUAUUUUUUACAUUUUAAGUAUAUAAUCAGAAUAAUGUAAAACAUUCUUAGAGCUUAUUUUUUGAAAAUGCAUAAACAUAAAUUUAUUACGAAAAAUAAAUCUCUUUUUCUACAAUAACUUAUAUAUAUAUAGCAACUAUAAAUAGUUCAGUGUUUGAGUUUGUGUUCUAUUGAUAUUAUUAAUAAGCCAUCUAGUUUGUUCUUAGACAUAGUCGCACAUAUAUAAUUUCAAUUUUUGUAGACUAUAAAAAAACAUGAAAAAGAUGCAGAAAUAGAGAAAAAUAAAGACAAAAUUAUAUGGAAGAUGCAGUAACUCUUCUAUUGGGAAGCAACAAUUAGGAUUGGGACGGAUAGGGUAUCCAGAUAAUUUUCAGGUAUCCGGAUCCGGAUCCUUAUCCGGCGGAUCCAUAAUUUUACUAUCUUUAUCCGGAUCCGGGGUUCUCGAAUAUCCGGGUGUCGGAUCCUUCUAAAAAUUGUAAUAUCCGGCGGAUAUCCGGAUCCGGAUUUGGAUCCUUCAAAUAAAUAAAAUUAAUAUUAAUAUAUUAAAAAUAUUAAAAAAAUAAAAAAAUAAAAAAAUAUAAUGUUUUUAAUUAUAUCUAUGUAUAAUAUAACAAAAUUUACAUAUACUAUUAUAAAAAUGAAAAUAUAUUAAAUAAAGUUAGUUUUUAUAUAUAGAUAUUACUAUUUUUGAAAUAGUUAAUAAAACUUACGAAUCCGGAUAUCCGGAUUAAAAUUAAGAUAUCCGGAUCCGGCUUUGACGGAUCCAAUAUUUUACUAUCCGGAUCUGGAUUCGGCCCUUCCGAAUUUUCGGAUCGGAUCCGGAUUGAAUCUCGGAUAAAAAUUCCAGGCCUAGCAACAAUCAAUCAACAUACAUAAUUUUUAGAAGAAAAACAGAUGUAAUGAAUAAAAACUAAACAUAAAUAUUGUUAGAAUACAGUAUUCAGUAGUAUAAUAUAUGACAAAAGAUACUAAAAUUGUCAAAAGGAAGAAACAAAUAUCUUUUCCAAAAUGGAUCGGAUCUUAUUAAGAUCUUCUUUCAUAUCUCUUUUGUUUCAUUAUCAAAGAUUCAAAAUGAAAAAAUGAAACAAAUAAAUAAAUUAAAAGAGCAAGGGUUCUAACCUACAAACUAUAAGAUAGAGACACAACUGAGAAGCCAGUAUAAUAAAGCAACUUAUUAUCUUUGGCGCCCCUAACUUUUAUAUUACCUGGCGCCUAAAGCCCUUGGUUUACGAGCUUUCGCCCAAGGCCGGUCGCAAUGGAGGUUGGACCUUUUACUCAACGCACCCUGACUGUUGGUAGUUAAUAGGCGGAACCAAGAGCAACAUUAUUGCGGGGACAAAUUUUAGGUGUCUUAGCAUUUUUUAUUAUUAUUUUUAGAAUAAGAGAUAUUGUUAAGAAACAAUGUUAAAUAUGCAGAUUAUUGGUAGAAACUUUUAUGUUGUCUCUUAGUAAAGAACAUAUAAAAGAACCCUAAAUUAAGAACAACAAGAACAGAAACAACAAUGUUUGCUUAUAUAACAGAACAACAAGAACAAGAACAGGCCACACGGUUUCAACUUAAUUUUAAUUGAACAACAAGAACAACAACAGGCCACUCGUUUUAAUUGCCAACUUGCUUCAACAUUAAAUCUGCAUCAACAUACAGAUAUUACAUGAGUGAUAAUUUCGUAUGGGAAAAGAACCUGCAGACAGAAUCCAAACAAAAUCGAUCAAACUUGCAUAAUCACGAAGAAAAGUAUCAAAAUAUCAGAUGAGCAAAAGAUGAGACAUUACGUCUCCUGGCUUGAUGAUAGCCUUGAUUUGGCUCAGCUUAGGAGACAAUGCAGUCUUAGACGCAGAGCCAUUCCCAAACAGAGAAGCUUUGAGACCGAGAUCAUCCUUUCUCACGAGUGACCGAGAUCAAAGCUACCGGGAACCCAUAUAACCUGAUUAAGUAGAACCUCAUUAGCUUCAAUUGCAUCAAUGGCUCCUUCCAAAAGCAACUUCGUCACAACCUCAUUGAAACGAGCAACAACCUUGAAAGAUAAAAAACGAAUCUAUCAGAACUCAAAAGCCUGAAAAGGUGAAGACUUUGCGAAAGUUGGAGAGCUCAGGAUGGCGAAUCGAAGCCCUUCCCCUCUAAUCAGCGACCCGGUAACAUGUCGAACAGCGUCAGUUACGAACGACGAGCGUAGCUCCUUCUCUACAAUGAGUGGUGACGCGAAACCUAAGGACAAUGAAUCCCCAGAAUCCAAAAUCAAUAUAAAUAAAAAAUAGACGAAUUUGGGAUGAUGUAGAGUGCAAAAGUGAUUACCUUUAACAGGAUCACCAUUGAUACAAUCCAACCCGCUUUCACUACCAGAAGCUCUCUCCUCCGCAGCUUCAUCUCAUCUCUCCUCUCCUCUGCAGCUUCAUCUCGUCUCUUCGUGCCGUCGUCGGAUUGGAGGUUCCAACCGGGAGAGAACUUUCGCGUGAGAGAGAGAAGAGAGAAACGACGAAGAAGGAACACACCUCCUCUGACCUUUCAAGUGCCUAUACGUGUCAACAAGAAACGCCUCAUCCUGUCCCUAAUUAAAAGACGUUUCUUCCAUAAUUAUGUAUUUUUUAUUUUAUUUUCCGUCUCUUAAGGACGGCGAUAAUUGUGCUCUAAAGGUGUUUGUUGGACAAAGAAAUUAAGUGCCAAAGAGUUUUGGUUUGCAUUAUGUCCAAAGGAAAUGUAAAACUUUGAUCUAUUCAACAAGUUGAGAUUUUCUAAAGCAUUCUUAUAGAUAAACAAACACAAAUCAUGUACUACUAUUUUGUAAGAAUGUAACCUCAUCAACAAAAUGCAAAUGUAAAAUCAACUAAACCCUUCCACUCUUUCACAUAACUUCUGGAAAUCAUCGGGGGGCAAGGUUGAUGUAGCCACAAUCGCGUAAAUCAAGGGAUUUGAGGUGAGGACAAUUCUCAACAAUGGCGUUUACGCCGGUGUCUGUUAACAUGUUCCCAAUAAGCUGGAGGUGGUGAAGACCGGGCAUUGUUUUAGCAAUUGCCAAAGCAUCAUCAUCAGACUCGUCCUCCAAGUAGUAGCAACCCACAUUGUUUAGCUUCAGAGUCUUGAGAAGCGGGCAGGAACGGCCUAUAGAUUCCAAAUCCAAUUCCAUAAAAUAGAAGUAAGAAAGUUCAAGGUGUUCAAGCAAUUUGAGCUUCAUGACUGCUCCCAAAAGUCCCACAUCCGUUAUGCCAUUGCACUCAGUAAGUACAAGCUGUUUCAGGUUACUUGACCUGUAUCCAUACCAAAGUCAUAUAAAAACACAAACUAUUAUUUGCAACCAACACAUAGACAUAGAAUCAGGAAUCAGAGUUUUAGGGUUCGUUUCACCUGUCAGCUAGGUAGGCGAGGAGAGAAUCGGUGCCGACGUACUCAAUGUUGAUCUCCAGCAAGCCUCCCUGGCUUAGAUCAACGGCGCGACGGCACAUGGCCUCCGCGGCAUGAUAAUAAUCCUUGGCUUCUUUGUAUUCUCCCAUGUUUGACAUCUCUAUUUUCCGCCACAUCAGGGGGUCUUGACAGACGCGUCGCCACGAUCUGCACACGUUCCGAGCGUUUCCUAGUCUAUCAGGCACGCUAAGACGGUGAAGAAUCGAGUAGAUCAGCUCCGAUGGAAGCUCCGCCCAGUUUAUAAGUUUUGCGUCUUUCAUCUCACCGGAGAUAAAGAGGACGAAUCAGUUUCUGAAGGUUAAAGUAAAGAUUGUGUGACUCUCCGGGUCCCUCUCUAAUUAAGUUCCUAAUGAUAAACUAAAUUUACGAAACAAACCCAAUAUUUAGAGUGAAUAUUGGGCCUAAGCCCAUGACUGUUUAACGUAGUUAGAAAAAUGGAAAUAGAAGAAGAUAGGAAAAGGAAACCUUGUAAAUUUAAUCGUGACAAUUGAAAUCUCCCUCAGCUAUAAAUAAAAGCUUCUCUCUCAUUCUUCUGAUUUCCAUUAGGGUUAAGGAUGGCUCACAGAUCAGCAACAGGGAUUCAUUCUUCAUGGAGCUGUAUGAGAUUGUGAAUGAUCACUCGUUGGAUGCAAUCAUCUCGUGGACCAACAACAGCAACAACAGUUUCAUCGUUUGGGAUGUCCCCCGGUUUUGCACAAAGAUUCUUCCCAAAUCUGUAGAGUUCGGCAGGAAUUUCUCAGAGUUUGUGUCCGAGCUUCGCCAUCAUGGUUUUCAGAGAAUCGGUUGGUUCGAGUUUGGGCAUAAUAACUUCGUGAGAAGUCGACCUUGGCUUUUGAAGAGGAUGGUGCCGAGCAAAGCUUGGGACGACAAGUUUGGUGCUAAACUCAAAGCGAAGAGAGACAAAGCCAAAGCAAAGAAAGCUAGAGCCAAAGUUGUUCGUCUCCUGGAGAAUUUACAAAUCUGAUUAUUCUUUACGUGUAAUGAAACUUGGAAAUUUCCGAAACAAUAUUAGUUCUGUUCUAUUUUCGAAUUCAGUAGAUGUUUGUAUGAUGAUGAUCUCUGCCUUAUCUUGUCUCCAAAUCUUUGAUUCUUAUAGUUUUAUCUUUGCCUUGUGAAUCACAAACCAUAAUAGAAUACGCGCAUUGGCUUACUAUAUGAGAACAUAAAACAGGACAGUUUAUAAUUCACCGAGUUUUAUAGAAAAUAAAAUCAUAAUAAAUACUAAUGUCUAGACCUACCCGAAACAGAAAAAUAGUGGAAAAGUAUUGCAGACACUAGAGUGGUGGUAAUCAAAAUACUUGGGAUUCGCAUUUUGAUAUUUUUAAACUUUUCCAUCAGCUGAGAUCCCUUCACAUUGUCCUGCACAUCAUCUUGCACAUCGUAUUGAUAGUUAAAUCCAGAUAGGUACUCUGAUGUACUUGCAAGAGAAGAAGGACGAAGUGAUACCAAAUUUUCAUCAAAAUCAGAUAUAACCCAAAUGUCUGAAGAGAUGCAAGAGAGCUUGUUCGUCUUUGGAUAAUACUUGAACAACCUCUUCUUAUUGUCACAGAAGAAAAAAUUUCCUUCCUUACAAACCGCCACGGGCCUAAACCACACCUUAGAAGGUUCAAGGUCGCGGAGGCAUAAAUCUAUGGUGUAAGUCAUGCUCCAUGUUUUUUCUUGUGCAUCUAUGGUCCAUAGCACUAGAUUCCAAACAGGGACAGUAUCAGGUGUGGCUAUGGCUAGACUGUAUUGAAAGUUCACUAGUUGAUCUAAGUCCGAGGAUUCUGGCGGAACUGGGACAUCACGGAACUUUUCGGUAUGAAGGUCCAAAGCUAGUAUGUUAUCACCGUCCAGCAUCUCUAACCAGUAGAUGGAUCCAUUGACACACACAGACUUCUUCCUUGGAUCCACACGAUAAGGAGGCGGAUUCACUAUCCACCAUUCCCCAAUGCUCACAUCAAGAAUCUCACAAUAAAGUUUAGGUUCAAAGAACAUCCUCACUACUUUAUAGUUUCCAUUAACUUGGUCCUUACCAAAUCCAUCGCCCAAUAUCCAGGGAAAAUAUUCCACCAUGGGGCUGCAAUUCAGUGAAAAAUAUGUGAUUUAUAUGACCUCAAUGCAUAUAUAUCGUUGAAAAAAAAAGAUUUACCUGCAAAGAAUAUGCCAUCAAAGCGCCUGGUCACUGGAUCAAUACCGGAAGGGAAACUGAUGUAUUCUCCGGUCGAAGGGUUCAAAACGUUGACGAAACCUGGUACGGGGAGGCAAACCAAACCUUCACAAGUAAGCGAGGGUCUUUUUGCGUUUGCUGCAAGUAAACAGACCACCUCUAUCUCCCCUGCGUCUAACUUAAAUCGGUUGUCUCCUACAGCCAGGAUUUUCGGGUUCUUCUUCUCAGCUUUCAUACGCCUCUCCGCGAAGCUCCUCGACUCCAGGAUUGAUCUCCAUUGUGUUGACACGGUUUUGAAUCUGAGGAUGGACUUCAGUGGAAGUCCAAGAAUAUCUCUUCCAGUAAAUCAUCGGGGAUAAUAAUGUUCAUAGGAUUUAGGGGUUUCCUUCUCCCUGUUUGUUUUCCCUUUCGUAGACUCACAAACUUUUUGUAUUUAUGGACUUUUUAAGGGCGGUCCAGUGGGUACCUUCCUUUUUUAAAAACUCUUAUUUCCCUCGUUUCUGUGUGAAGCGAAUAUAAGAAAACCAGUAUUUUUUGCCUUUCUUGUCAAUUAGAGCAUCUUUAUCUCAAAAUGCUUAUUGGUGGAGCUUACAAAAAUAAUAAUAAAAUAGUGGGGUGGAUUCCACUAAAUUGAAAAAACCGGUGCCUAUGCAGUUUAUAUAAGCACCGAUGUCAUUGUGUUGUUUGCACUGUUUGCGGGCCUGCACAGUGCAGAAAUCCUUUUUGAGGUGCUUUUUUUUUUUGUUGUUUAGAAACAAUCCCCCGAUUGGUUUAUUAUUUUUUUUUUUUUAAAUCAGACAAAAAAAAGCACCUCAAAAAAGGUUUCUGGAUUAAAGAUACUCUUAACUGCCUUUUUUGCAAUAUCCUCUUUCAUUCCCAAAAGAUUGUUUCUAAAUUCUUAUUUAUUAGUGUUCGAAAAACAGAAAAUUUUCAGUUAUUUAUCUGAAUUAGAAAUAUUGUAUGAAAUAUAUAUAUAUAUAUAUAUAUAUAUAUAUAUAUAUAUAUAUAUAUAUAAUGCUAUAAAUUUUUAUAAAUAAUUAAAAAUCUAAAAUUUCAUUUUGUGUUUUUGGUACGUGAAUUUUAAUGUUAAUUAAAUUAUAUUAAUCUAAGUCGCUAAAAAUAUUUAUUUUACAUGAUUUUGAUCAAAUUGUUAAUAAAUUCAUGAUUAGGUGAACCAAAAAAUUAUUUUAAAACAUUUUAUAAUCAUGGCAUUAUCUUAUCUAUCACAUUUUUAACUUUAAGCAAAGUAAUUCUAAGUUGCAAAGUUUUCAUAAGUUUAAUAAAAAAUAACUGAUUAAUAUUUAGUAAUAAAAAAAUGACGGUGGAAUUGCAUAUGUAAUUAUCACAUUAACUUCUCCAGCACAUAUUAUGCAUCUACUUUGUACUUGCCUUUUUCAUUCUCUUCUUGUUUCUCCCAUUGUCAUUUCUUUCUUUUUAUCACAUUUUACAUGCAUUGCUAUGUCUUCCUAAUUUUCUUACAUACUUUUUUUUGCCAAAUAUCUCUAUAUCACUCUAAAUAAUAACACAAAUAAUACAAUCAAGAUUAAAAUCAUUGACCAAUCAAAUUAUAAUAAUUUCUUAAAUUUCACCAGUGAUAGACACAUAAACAAAAGUCACUUAAGUCACUUCUCAUUAAUACGUAGGAAUUUUUUUUUUAAAGUUAAUAAUGAUUUAUAAAGCAUGUGUAGACUUUAUAAGAUUUUAGUAGUUAUUAUAUUAUAUUAAUCAUUAUUUUAAAAAUAUAUGUAAUUAUAUAUUAAGUUUUAUAAAAAAAUAGUUCAUUAUAUUAAAUAGUUUAUAAAUAUUAAAAUAAUUUAUCAAACAUUAUUAUUCUUUCUAUAAUUUUUAAAAUUAGUUACCAUAAGUUAUUAUUUGUAAUAUUCUUUAGCUUAUUUGGCAUGUGACAUUUACUGGUUCUAGACUUAUCUUUAAUUAUAGAUCUAAUUUAAAUAAAUCAAAAUUAAAAAUCAUCGACAGUAAAAUUAUAGCAAUUUUUAAAAACUUCACCAAUGAUCGCAUAAAAAAGUCAAUUAAGUGGUUUCUCAUUUAAUAUACAGAAGGAUCUUACCUAUUAGAAGAAUUCACAACUUUAUAUAUAUGUGAUUUUUAAGUUAAGUCAGGCUUGGGUAUUUUACCAAGACCAUAAACUCGAACCAAAACCGACCCAAAAACUGGUUCAGAUCAGAUACGGAUAAUGCCAUUUUAUCCCAUUGGAUCUUGUUGUAGAAUGCCCAUGGGUCUUGGACCCGAUCCAAUCGGGUAUUAAUAGACCCAACUUUGAAUAACCCUUAGACCUAUGUUAAACCCCUAAAACCGUAAAAACCAAACUCACCCUUCAGAUAUAUGUGUUUGUCUGUUCAUUGUCUGUGAUAGUUUUGGUCAUAUCUCUAUAACUAUAUAUAACUCAAGUUUUUUUUUAUUUAACCUGGAUGUAUUCCGGGCCGAAGUCCAGACUAAUCCCUAAGGAAGGUGCAUCCCACCAAUAAAUUCUUUCUCCAGAUAUUAAUUCAAAUGGUCACAAAGCAUGAUCAUAUAUCCGCAUGGCUAUACAUUAAGGUAAUCUGAGUAGAAACGAAUUCCACUCAGCUCCCUUGGGGAUACUGAAACCCCAUGUACCACGCAGCCAGUGCGUGGUUACUAUAACUCAUGUGUUUAUGAAAAGUGUAUUGUUUUUUCGAUAUUGUAUUUUUUACAUGCAUGCACUAAUUAUAUUCAGUUGCGGUUAACUUGAUAAUGUUGAUGUGAAUAAUGAUCAAAUUGCACCAAGCUUAUUUCAAAAUGUGCAUACGAGUGCUUUGACGGCAAGAAGAGAAAGCCAACUGUGUGAGCAUUGCAGUAUUCAUGUUGUCAACUCUCAGCAGUACGUAUUUCGAAGGCAAAAUGGCUCAGUUUCAGUUUCAGGUUUUAAUUAUGAUUAUAUUAACUUUUUUUUGUUGUUGCUAUGUUACUGAAAUUGGUUUUAUCUGUUCCAGGAAAGGAUGAACAGAUGUCUCAUGGUCUGUCAAGACAAAUUUGAGGCGUCAAAGCUCCAUAAGAACAUAAUUUGAUGCGCCAAAGAUAGUAAAAGUUGCAGGUUUUAAGUUGUUUGUAAAUAUUUUUGGGGUAUAAAUCCAUGUAUAAGGUAAAAUAGACAAGAAUUACUCGAUGUAUACCUGAAAGUUACAAAAACCGACCCAAAAUCAGGAAAAAACCCAAAAUACUCAAAAGACCCGAAAUCAAACCGGAGCCGUUUGUAUCCGAAAAAUAGAUGUUCUUCAUAGCUAUUUAUAUUGUUACUGAACUGACAUGGGAUCAAAAAGACCCUAUCUGAAACCGAAUCGUAAAUUUCUAAAUAGUUUGUUGGAUUCAAAUGUCUAGGAUAUGAAAGACUCUGACUCAAAUCCGACCCCAAGAUCCAGAUGCCAAGGUACAAAAAUACAUGAAAUCCACUUGGGUAAGAGGCGAUAGGAGCGAUCAACACUAUGUAAAAACAAUAAAAAUAUGAUCGAUCUUUAAUGCGAUCGAUCCAUAGAAUAAUGAAUAGCCAAGUGUGACUGGUAACUAUCUUAAGAACAAUAAGAACAUGGGAAAAGAAUGAGUAGGAAUAAAAUUUUAAGAAUGAUGAGGAAUGAUGGUUCCUUAUCAAAAUUAAUAAGGAAUAGAUUUAUUCUAUAAUUCUCUACAAACAAAGGAACGAAGAGGAAUGAAAAGGAAAAUUUAUUCCUCAUGAAUGGUAAAAAAUUUAAGGAAUGCUAAGGAACAUAGUGUUCUUUCUCAUUCCCUUGGCGACUGGUGACCAUUCAGAAAACAAGAAAAACGAACAGAAAAUGAAUGUACAAGAAUAAAAUAACAGGAAUGAAAAAGAAUGGUUGUUCCUUCUCAAAUUUAACAAGGAAUAAUUUUGUUAUUUAAUUCUCUACAAAAAAGAAAAAGAAUAAGAGGGAAUGAUAGGAAAUUAUUAUUCCUUGUGAAUGGUAAUUUUUUUAAGAACGUUAGGGAAUGUAUUAUUUCUCGUCGUUCCUUGGUCAUACCCUAAGUGUUUUUUAUUAAAAUGAUUGAACUGGCGUAAUCCUAGUGAUAACAUGAUGCAUGGGUUCAAAAUAUAUUUAGGUUCCGUAUUAAAAAGCCCAAGCUGGAUACAUUUGAAUAAGGAGUCUAAAUUCAGGCCCAUGUUUCUAUAUUCAGACACAACGGCACAACCGAUCGCCGAAUAUAAGCCCUAGCCGCGUCGAAACAGAGAGUAUUAUACAUUUCAGAGGAACAGUUCACUUCUUCUUUUCUACUUGUGGGUUUAGAGAAAGAUGAAACCUUCUCAAAAGAGAGCUCGCAAACUCAAAACACAAUCAGCCGAAAACGCCACCGGCGAAGUCAAAGAAGCUUCCGUCACACACCUGACCGAAUCUCCGUCCCCUGAGCCUCCCGAAACCAACCCAUCUCCGCCGCGACUCAACCGUGGGAGAGGCAAAAAGCGCCGACUGAGCAACAACCCAUCCGAAACCACCGAGCAGCAACGCGGCGGCGUAGUCAGCCAGAGGUCGUCUCUUCCUCACCACCACCACUCUGAUUGCAACAACAAUGGGACGACUGUUUCAGCGGCAGCAACAGCGGAAUCCACACCUGCUGCUCCGAGCUGGGAGACUGUCGUGAAAGUUGUGCCUUCGAUGGACGCUGUGGUGAAAGUCUUCUGCGUCCACACUGAUCCUAACUUCUCCCUGCCGUGGCAGAUGAAACGGCAGUACAGCUCCGGUAGUAGCGGCUUCAUCAUCGGAGGAAGAAGGGUCUUGACGAACGCUCAUUCCGUUGAGCAUCAUACUCAAGUUAAGCUCAAGAAGCGUGGCUCCGACACUAAGUAUCUAGCUACGGUAUUAGCCAUUGGAACUGAAUGCGACAUUGGUAAGUUUCUUGCUGUUUUUAGUUUUGUGUUGCAAUUAGGCCUGUGCAGUUUGGGCAUUGGGUAGUUCGGGUAGGGGACUAGAGGCUCUAUUUAUUAUAUGACCUAUGUUGAUAGUUUAAGAUUCGGUUCAGGUAAUUUCGGAUUGGGUUCGGCUAAUUUUGGAUUUGGUUCAGUUCGGAUAGUAAAACUAGGAAUCAGAAAAUACUUCGAAUAAAAACAUUUUGAUACUUUUGGAUACUUUCGGGUAUAUUAGUGAUGGGCCUAACUCACACCCAAAAGCUUAUGAGUGGAGGUUUACCCAUACACACAUAUAUUACUCUCAUUCACUCAUAUAUUCUCGAUGUGGGACUCUAAUACACUCCCCCUCACGCUCAGGAUUGGACAUCUGAAGCGUAAAGUUUGUGGGACUGGACAUCCACGGGUAGGCCACAAUCGAAAAAUUGAAAAUUUUUGGGCUCUGAUACCAUAUUAGUGAUGGGUCUAACUCACACCCAAAAGCUACCUCAUGCGUAGAGGUUUACCCAUACACAUAUAUAUUACUCCCAUUCACUCAUAUUUUCUCGAUGUGGGACUCUAAGAGUAGUUUAGAUAUUUAAUAUAAAAAUAUAGGAAUCAUUCUGGUAUUUAUGGGUUUCAGUCAGGUUUUGGUUUUGGAUAUUUAGGUUUGGUUCGGUUUUUUCUUUUUUUUUGCCCAGGCCUAGUUGCAAUGGAACAGUUUCUUGAUUGUUUCUUGGGAUUAUUGCAGCAUUGUUGACGGUUAGUGAUGAUGAGUUUUGGGAAGGAGUGUCUCCUGUGGAGUUUGGAGAUCUACCAGCUUUGCAAGAUGCUGUAACUGUUGUUGGUUAUCCGAUUGGUGGAGACACUAUCUCCGUCACGAGCGGUGUUGUUUCUCGGAUGGAGAUACUGUCUUAUGUACAUGGCUCGACAGAGCUUUUGGGGUUGCAGAUUGACGCGGCUAUAAACUCUGGGAACUCUGGUGGUCCAGCGUUUAACGACAAGGGGAAAUGCGUGGGGAUUGCGUUUCAGUCGUUGAAACAUGAAGAUGCUGAGAACAUUGGUUAUGUCAUACCAACGCCUGUGAUUGGACAUUUCAUUCAAGACUAUGAGAAGCAUAAUAAGUACACAGGUACAUUUUAAAGUCUCUUUGGUGUUUCUUUCUAUAUCUACUACAUUGUGUCUCAUUACUUGUACUUGUUUUAGGGUUUCCUGUGAUUGGGAUUGAGUGGCAGAAGAUGGAGAAUCCAGAUUUGCGUAAGAAAAUGGGAAUGGAGUCUCAUCAAAAGGGGGUGAGGAUAAGGAGAAUCGAGCCUACUGCCCCGGAGUCACAGGUUUUGAAGCCAUCUGAUAUCAUCCUUAGCUUUGAUGGAGUUAAUAUUGCUAAUGAUGGAACUGGUAAUGAUUUCUUCUUACUACCAAUUAGUGAGUCUGAGACAUUCUUGGCUUUAUGUUCUUGUUUGGAUUUUUUUGUGUAUAGUUCCAUUUAGGCAUGGAGAAAGAAUUGGGUUUAGCUAUCUUAUAUCUCAGAAGUACACUGGAGAUUCUGCUCUUGUGAAGAUCCUGCGUAACAGAGAGAUUCUUGAGUUCAACGUAAAACUUGCAAUUCACAAGAAGCUAAUCCCUGCACACAUAAGUGGCAAACCUCCUUCUUACUUCAUCGUUGCUGGCUUUGUUUUUACUACAGUCUCUGUUCCUUAUCUUCGCUCUGAGGUCUGUCUUUGACUCUCUCUAUAUCUUUCUAUCUCACACGCACUGUAACCAUUUCCCAUUCUAUGUUUUUGCAGUAUGGAAAAGAAUACGAGUAUGAUGCACCUGUCAAGCUUUUGGAGAAACAUCUUCAUGCAAUGACUCAAUCCGUGGACGAGCAACUUGUUGUAGUUUCACAGGUUGGUUUCUUUUGCGCGAUCAAACGUUAUUCUUUGCCUUUGAUAUCGAAAUCUCAUCAUCCAUAUCAAAUGCAGGUUCUUGUUUCUGACAUUAACAUUGGUUAUGAGGAGAUUGUCAAUACCCAGGUUUGUAUAAAUUUGCAUAAUCAUGUGUUGAUGAUGCUUCCAUCAACUCUCUAUAUGGUGGUCUGUGUAGGUUGUUGCUUUCAAUGGCAAACCUGUGAAAAACUUGAAAUGUUUGGCUGAGAUGGUGGAGAAUUGUGUGGAUGAAUACAUGGAGUUUUAUCUUGAUUAUCAUCAGGUAUGAAUGAUUCUCUCUGAUGAUCUGUAGACAUAAUAACCUUUUAGCUAAAAUCUCUCUGGGGUAUUUUGUGGACAGAUUGUUGUUCUGCAAACUAAGACUGCAAAAGAGGCAACUUUAGAUAUUCUGACCACACAUUGCAUACCUUCUGCUAUGUCUGAUGAUCUUAAGACUUGAAUAAGAAACCGAAACAGUGGCAGCCAUAAACAAAGCAUGUAAGGAGGAGAGAUUUUGCACCAUGGAAGGCACACAAAAGCAAAUACAGUCAUGGAAGACAAGCUUUAAAAGCUCAAACCAUAUCUUUUGUCUUCUUUGAUUUUUGUUUUGAAUUCGACUUAUUUGAUCAACAAAAGAUGAGAGUCAAAAUCGUAAAAGAGUAAAACGCAUGCAAAAACAAAAUGGUCUCUAAUCUCAUUUGGUUCUCUGCAAAGCGUACAAGUUUGUAUGACACCCAAUUGUCUACAAUGUUAUAAAAGCAUAUUAGGUAGAAUAGAUGGGGUGAACCAUACUAUCUUAUGCCAUCAUGCUUGCUACACGUUAUCGUUGAGUUCGAAUCAGGUCUCAUGUCUUUGUCUAAAAAGAAGAACAAAAUCUCUUUAAAUUCUACUCGAGCAUUAGAGUUUCGAAUCUUUCGAUAUAAAGAUCUUCCUUACGAGGUUAAUGAAUCAAGUGGAACAAAUACAGUAUAAACUUUAUCAAGUAUAUUAAUAUUGAAUAAACACAAUAAAUUAUAACUUUCGUGUAAAAUAUGAAGUAGUUCGGUAAGAUAAUAAACUAAUAAUAUUAAAAGUUGUUACCUAAAUAUAUGGUUAUAUUAAUAAUUAGUAUAUGUUUAAAUUUUAUAUAACAUAUAACACAACAUUUUAUCAUUUUUUUCUUCAAGAUAAAUUUCAUCUCUAAUUUUAUUUGUUCAUUUUAAUAUGUUGAUAUUACUUUAUCGAAUUACAUAUAAAACACAUUUGUAUUCUACCAUCUGCAUUACACAUAUAUAAAAUAUUUAAAUAAUCUAAUAAAAAUAAAUGAAAUUCAAAUUUAUCAAAUCUAACUAAUGGAGUAUAUAUUAUUGUGAAAUAAAUAUCUUUUUUAAUUUUAAAUAAAAUAUUUUAAAAUAUGUAAAACUACUUUUUCUGUAACAAUUUUAUAGAUUAUUAAAUUGCAUUAAUCCCAUUAUUAUUAAUUUGUAAAGUUUUUAAUGUGUGUCUCAUUUUAAAAUAUAUCUCUCUCUCACUUAAUGAUGUUGGUGUUGGUGAUGUUAUGACUUGCUUUCAGUUUCAGGCUAAUCCAUUUAGAGAAAUUUCGUUGUGGUACGUAAUCAAUUUUUUUGUAGUUAAACUAUAGAUUACAAAACCUAAUUUUAAGAAAUUAAACACGGAUGUUAAUAGUGUGUAAAUCAUACGGAUCGUUGGGAAUAGUUCUAUUGCUUAAAGUCAGUACUUAAGUUUAAACAAAAGUUUUUUUUGCCGAAGAAAUUUUUUGUUAAACAACGAGGUUUUCCUAGGGCCGGAGAAAAAGGCCGAUUACUUAAUAAUCUUUUCAGGUUGUCAAGCAUACUCAAAGUAGAAUUUUUUUUUUUAUAAUCCUUAUCGGCUAAUCUGGUCAGCCUCAAGAGGAACACACUUAGUGAUACAUAGUGCACUGACUACCACACUGCAUGACCAGAAUUUGGAAUACUUUCCGACUAAUGUCAGGAAGUGAACCGAUCAUCUAUUAUGAUCUACUAUGUAAAUCAUUUGGGCUGAAACUCAGACUGACCAAGUAAUGAUUAUUUAGUUCCCAGAGAGAAUCGAACCUAGAACUAAUGUGGAUACACACGAAGCUCCAAAAGAUUACCAUUAGGUUACCACCACUUGGUUAACUAGAAAUUUUUUGCACAAAUGUUUCUAAUCCUUUCUAACUGAGCCAGCUCAUCUGGUUAAAAUCAACAAAAAAAUUCUAAUAUCAUCUACAUAAAAUACAUGGUUUAAAACUCUAACGAUAACGACUAUUCACUUAACGACUAUUCACUUAUCCUAAUUCUACGGUAUGCAGUUCUGAACUCGUUGUAGUUCUCCUACUUAGGGUAUGACUGAUUUCCUCGCUACCACCCACAAACACAGUUUUUAUAAUUGGUAGCGGUUAUUAGUGUUUUGCAACAAGUAAACAGACUAUUAAUUUAAAAUAUAUAAAUUAUUUUAUUUGUGUAUCACACAUGACCGAAUGUAGUAAUCAAUAGUCCAAAACUUAAGCAUACAUAGUACACGAUAUUUGUGUAUCACACAUGAACUAAUUUAGUAAUCAGUAGUCCAAAACUUAAGCAUUCAUAAUAUAAGAUAUUUGUGUAUUCACACAUGACCUGAUGUGUAAUCAAUAAAGUCCAAAACUUAAGCAUACAUAGCACAAGAUAGACAGGGACGGGGACCAGUUUUCAAAUGGAUACAAAUUUUUUUAAAUAAAUCUACUGAAACUAUGUUCCAAAAAAAAAAAAAAAAAAAAAAAAAAUCUACUGAAACUAAAAGACUCAACUAAAUUCUCGGGACCCAUCUUCAAAUGGAUACAAAAUUAGUUAUGACCUAUCUUCAACUGGAUAUAAAUCAGUUAACGAAUCUAUGAAACUAAAAGACGGAAUCUAGAUUCUUGUUACCUUCAAAACAAUGCAAGAAAAAUACAUUUGGUCAUGCAUAUACAAGAUGUUGAUACGAAAGAAGAAGAUAUAUGCAAUAUAUAGGAUUUCACUUGUAUCCAACAGAAUGCAUAUCUUCAUGAUAAGGUUUCAUCUUCUCUGUUCUGUGUAGGAAACAAAAGCGACUGCUCAGAAUCACUUAUUGUUUUGGUAGUAUCCUCUCUUGCUUUGCCCCAAAUCACAGUAUAAAAUCCAAAGCUCAAUAUCACUGAUCCAACCACACUGCCACAACACAUAGAUACAAAAUAAUAUGUACUAAUCACUGAAUCUUAUUAUCCAACAACCAAAAAUCUAGAACUAUGUUUUUCAAUAUAGAGACACUAUAGUUGAAAGUAAGAAAGAGAGAGAUAAUGGUACCUCCCUAGGUGGAGUGCAUCUCCAAGGAAAAUAGAAGCCAUGGCAACUGCAAUGGCAAUAGACAAGGGCUUGAACAAGGAUACAUAGACCGGUCCCUUCAAAUGCAGACCCCACGUGUGGAUAACUGAGCCCAAUGAUGUAUCAAAGAAUCCCUAAAACAGAGUUUCAGCUUCAAAGCUUGAGAUAGAAGAUAUAUAAGAAUAUGUACUUAAAGAGAGUUCUAAGGUUUGAUUACUCACCGAGUAUAUGACUGCAACGAGUGAGACUCCCGGUUUAAGCUUCCAGGAAUUCAAGUCUCUUUCUACAAAUAGACAUACUAACGCUGAGAUUAGCGUUGCACACAUGUUGUAGAAGAGGACUACGCUUAUUUCUUCAGGGUAUAUCUCCAUGAUCUGAGUCUGAAAUCAUGUACAGCUGCUUACUUUAGCUCAACUUUAAGCAUUACCAUCAAACGUAAGGCUUUAAGUUUAUGUACUACCUGAAGAAUAUACCAGACUGAAAGAAGCAAAAACUGUAAAGCUAGCAAAAGGCCUCCAAUGAUCCAACUUGGCUCGAAUGAAGUAAAAGAUGUAGCAACAAGAAGCUUUGGGCCUUUAUAAAGAACAAUAACAAGAGCACCAGAUAUAGAUACUAUCGUGCCAAUGAUUUUUGCCUGAGUUGCAGAGCUUCUUAACAUCACUUGUUCCAUCCUUUACCGUCACCCGAGAAGCACAACCAUAUAGCAACACACAAAUCUCAUUUUUCAAAAAAAAAAAGGAAAUAGAAGAGAAGAGAGUGGAACCUGAAGAAGACGGCAAGCAUGAAGGUGAAAGCUGGUGUGAGGUUGCUUAUAGCAGAAGAAAGAGUUGGGGAACUAUAUUCUAUUCCUUUACAACCAGCUAUCCGCGAGGUAAGCCUGUUUUACGCCAAGUUAGCAAACUAGAAAAAAAAACCCUAAGAAUACUCAUAGAUCUUGAAACAGUUACCCAAGAAGCGUAAGUAGGAAAAUCUUGAAGAAGAGAGGAGACUUGGCUGAAGGUAAUCUUCUCUUCCUGCUUAAGUAAAGUAAAAUUACAUAAUCUUGAAAAGUAUUAUAUGAUAUUGAGUAAAGAGUUAGUUGAGAAGAUCAAGCACCUUCCAAAGAUGAGGGAAAGUGUAAAUAGGACAAGCGUAGCAACAACAUAAGAGUAGAAGACAAAGACAUAAAAACUGAAUCCUCUCAAGGUCGCAGCUUUGAACAGUGUGGACGAUCCAACCGUGGUACACUCCACUGCGAUCAUUGCCGCAAAGGGCACAACAUCUCGGCUGAAGUACCUCCACGCCACUGUUUCUCUCAUGAUAUCCAGAUUCUCAGAAAUUCUCUCAAGUUACCUAAGGAUUCAUGAACUUGGUUAUUAACGUCACCAGGGUUGUUGCUAAAUUGUUUUUAUAUAAAACCAAGACAUUUUCUCAGUGCAGGAAAAUAUCCCAACUUGACCAUAUACUUCACACCACAAGAAUAAUAUCAGAAUAUUACAAGGACCCACGACAAGGACCUUCGCCCAUUAUAUCUUUCAGCUAAAGAAAUUUCUAACUUCCAUUUAUAAAAUUUUAACCAAAAAUAUAUCAGAAACCCCCUCGCAUACGUUUUUUUUUUUUUAUUCAAAAAACCCCUUCGUAUACGUUAGUAUUUAUAUAUACAUCUUACCAGAAAUAAGAAGACAUAUUACUAAACAUGUACAGUACAGGGACCAUUUUCUAUAAGGCCAUCAUUAUCGCUAGGAGAAUUUUAAGUCCUUAAAAUAAAAAAAGUAAAGGACGCAAGAGAUAUCAAAGGACGAAGGACGAGCUGGGACGUUUCUUAUAUAACGACUUUUCCCCUCGAUCCUGGUGUUUUUGUGGGUCCCCUGCCCUUAAGGACCAGCUGGGACGUUGCGAUAAUGUUGCCCUAAGAGAUCCAUAUUUACAAGUGAAUGGUGCAAGGACCCCACCUGCAUCAAUAAUGCUCUUGUUGCAUGAUCUCAUGCUUUUUCCCAAAUCAUACAGUAGAAUCUAAUGCACAAUAUAAUUGAACCAAUCACAUUACCCACAACAUCUAUAUGGCUAAAUAAUCAAUAUCGGUUACUACUGUCUCAAAAAACAUAUUGCAGUUUAUACAGUGACAUACCAUAAAAAUGUGGAGACUUUAAGUGUUGCUCAUACCCGAAAAUAAUACAGAACUAUAUAUGCAAGCUUAAGGAAUAUUGACUGGCCAGUCUUGGUGGAUAUUGAAGCUUCUCAUGGAAAGAUGAAAUCUUUUAGCUCUGCUUUCGCCUAUUGCAUCAACUGAGUUUUGUUUUCAUAUGCUUGAAAAUUCAGCUAUGCACCAUUUGCAUUAUUCUAUUAACUUAAACCAAUCCUUUUAGUGAAUAUUUUAAAAUUAGGUGUUUAGCCCGUGCAUACGGGCAUAUGUAUUUAUAAUUACUUAUUAAUAUAUAUAUAUUUAUUAAUUAAAAUUAUAAUAAUAAAUUAUCAUAAGUCAUGUGUUUUAUGCUUUUUAAUUUUUAACUUUUCUAUUAAAAGAUAUUUUUUGGAUAACAGCAUAAUAUAUAUAGGAAUUAUCUUUUUAUUUUAAAAAGUACUUUUAGAUUUUGGAUAACUUUUCUUAUUAAUAAUUUUAAAUCACUUAUCUUAUAAAAAAUCUUAAGAAAAUUUCCUAGGAUAACAACUUUUAAGUUUUUGUUACAGAAAUAGUCCUCAAUGAAGAAAAUCACCAAAAUAAGUUUUAUUAAAGGGUAAAAAUGUAGAGUUAACUAAUCUAGACGUAGGGUUUAGAAUUAGGGCUAUAGUUUUAGGGAUGAAGUUUUAAAUUAAAAAGAAUAAAAAAUUAAAAUUAAAAUUUUUAAAAUAAAAAAGAUUAUUUUGGUCAUUUUCUUUCUUGAGAACUAUUUUUAUAUUUAGCUAUUGAGAGGAAAGAAUUGCCCCAGUCUUAAAUUCAUUUUUAUUUUUAGCUAAUUUAUAUAUUUUAUUCACUAAGCAUAUAAACGAUAUUAACCGCUCUAACCUUUAACCUGAGAGAUUGUAAAAAAAAAUAAUUCGCAAAUAAUAUUAUAGAAGACUGGUAUUGUGCAAAUUUUUACAAAUCAAUAGUAUUAAGGAUUAUCACUUGCAUUAAUCCAACAAGUCUUAGUCUCCAACGACGUGCGUAAGCAGCAAAGGUGAAUGCUCAGAACCAGCUACAGUUUUGGUUGAAUCCUCUCUUGCUUUGCCCCAAAUUACCGUGUAGAACCCAAAGCAUAAUAUCAUUGAUCCAAUGACACUGCACACAACACAAAAAUGGUGAAAUUUAAAUCAGCUAUUAUUUAUCAAUAAGCUUAUUAUUUAGAUAAAAUAUUUAUUACAUGCUAGAAAUGAAGAAUAUGGAAGAUAUGGUACCUCCCAAGGGGAAGUGCAUCACCGAGGAAAAUAGCACCCAUGGCGACUGCAAUCGCGAUAGACAAUGGCCUAAACAAGGAUAUGUAGACAGCGCCUUUCAGAUGUAGACCCCAUGUGUGGGUAAGCGCGCUGAACAAUGAAACGAAGAAUCCCUGAGAAUGAAGUGUUAGUUGUUUAGCUUAUAACAUCAUCUUCAAUUGUUAGUUGAUGCUCACCGAGUAUACGAUUGCAGCGAGGGAUAUAUCUGGUUUAAGCACCCAUGAAGUCAAGUUUCUUUCCAAAAAUAAGCACACUGGUGCUGAGAUUAUCAUUGCAAAUAAGUUGUAGAAGAAGACUACUCUUAUUUCUUCAGGGUAUGUCUCCAUAACCCGAGUCUGAACCAGAUACAGCUACCGAAUUUAGUAAGAAGUUCAUGUGUCAAGAACAACUUAAAGUCUCUGUUUUGAAAAAAAAUUCAAGUGAUUAUACCUGAAGAAUAUACCAGACUGAUAGAAGAAAAUACUGUGAAGCAAGAAAUAGGCCCCCAAUCAUCCAACUUGAAUCGGACGAAGUCAAAUUCUGGUCAACCGAAAUGGGUAGAGAUGAUGAAGGUGUAAAAGAUGCACCAGAGAGAACCUUUGGGCCUUUAUAUAGCACAAUUACUAGAGCACCAGAUAUAGAUAGUAUUGCGCCAAUGAUUUUAGCCUGACUCGCAGAGCUCCUUAACCUUACUUGUUCCAUCCUUUAUGAGUCACCCAGGGAAGCAGAACCAGUUAGAAACAGAUAGUAACAAACAGACCUCACUUACACCCAACUUGUAGCCAACCACAAGGUUAAACUUGUACUGUAGACUCUGUGACCACUAAUACAAGAACUUCAAAUUUUACUUUGUAUUUCAUAGCAGUAUAUAACAUGAGAAGUUAUCUGUACUUUCUCUUCUAUUUUAUUGCAUCCACUGGUGUCACGUCUAGACUACUAGUCUUGAGAUUUCGUAUGGUUAAUAACUGUGGGAACAAGGUAAAACCUGAAGAUAACGGCGAGUGUGAAUGUGAAAGCUGGCGUGAGGUUGCUGAUAGCAGAAGCGAGAGUAGGAGAACUGUAUUCUAUACCCUUACAAGCAGCUAUCUGCGACAUGAACCUGUUUCACACAAGUUAACAAAACAAAAACCAGAAAUGCCCUUUAAUCAAGACGCAGGUGUAGUAUCACUACUACCCGAGAAGCCCAAGUAUGAAAAUCUUGAAGAACAGAGGAGAUUUGGCUGGAGGCAAUCUUCUUGACCUGCAUAUUUCAAAGUAAUUUAAUAUUCUUGAAAAGAGCAUGCAUUAAAAAAAAAAAAAAGAGCAUGCAUAGGGGGUAAAGAGUGGAUGAAGAGAUCAGUUACCUUCCAAAGAUGAGGGAAAGUGGGAGAAGGAGAAGUGUAGAAACAAGAUAAGAGUAGAAGACAAAGACAUAGAAGCUCAAUCCUCUUAGAGAGGCAGCCUUGUACAGUGUGUUCGCUCCAACAGUGGUACACUCCACCGUAAACAUGGCAGCAAAAGGCACAACAUCUCUGCUAAAGUAUCUCCACGCCACCGUCUCUUCUCUAGCUCCUCUCAUCACAGAUCUCUUGGUAUUUCAGAAACUCUCUGGAAUCAAAAUGAAUGUAGACGCAAUCAUGGUGUUUGUUGGUUAACUCCACCACGUUUGCUAAAUGGUCAUUAUUUUAUUUAGAAACCAAUGAUAUUUUCAGUGAUGACAUCACUAUGGAAAUAGUCUUUUUUGUUUUUUUCCAUAAAUAAAUAUCGCAACUUGACCAAGUACUUCACACGGCAAGAAUCGUAUUUGAAUAUGCUUGGGACCCACGAUAAGUAAGUUUUGCCAUUUUAAUAUCUAUAAGUACCUUCAGAAAAAAAAAUCUUCAGAAAGGUAAUAUUUUGAUCAGUUUCUUUUCUUUACCUUCAGAGGCAAGUAAUUUCAUGAUACAGAUAAACAGAGGAGGACACAUCAUCGAGGGGACGAGCUGCUGAGUGCCACGUCGGAUAACAACCUUAACAGUUUAACGAGUAAAAACACUGUUAGUUAUAAAAACAUAGUACCUAACAAAAUCAGAUUCAUUAAGAAAAUUGUAAGCAUUCUAUCAUUGUGACUGUUGAAUCUAUCAGUAGACUCAAAUAGAGAAGAAAGGUGAGUCUUUUGCUCUUGUAUUGAUACUUUCUUAACAAAAAAAAGAAAAAAAAAAGUAUUUUGGCAUCCAGCCCAAUCACCGUCGUAGCUAUACGCGGUCAGAGUGAAGCCUGUGUACUUAUUGAGUGAGAUACUCAUGGUGAUUGUGCCUUUUAAAAUACCCGAGAAUCUAAAAUACCCAAGAAUCCGCUUGAUAAUGUUGAAGUCUGAUACACUCGCUGAGUGCAUCUUUUGAUAGACGAAAUUAACAGCAAAUGGAUAUCAUAUCUGGUUAAAGUAUUGAAGUUUACCGGCUAAACUUCUGAAAUAAGUAGGAUUGGAGAAAGCUUAUUACUGAUCAGGUAUCUUUUUUAAUUGCAGGGGAAGUGGAGUGGGAACUAGAGCACAAUCAGUCAUCGAAACUACUGCAAGUAAGUCUUCUACAUAUUUUUGUUGACAGAUAGCAAUCCAUUUGUGUGACUUUGAACUUGAAUGCCUAGGAAAUAGUGUAGUCUGCCCAUAUCAUUCAUCUUGCACUCUAUGUGAAGCUGUUGUAAAAGAUCAGUUAGAACUUAGAACUGUUGAGCUAUUUCCUGUAAUUACCAUGUCGUCAACAUAGAGUAGUAAGAUGUCAUGUUUUUAUUUAUUGUGUAAACAAACAUGGAUGGAUCAGACUUGGAGCAAACGAAGCCAAAAUCAAUGAGAAAAUAGCUGAAUUUACCAAACCAUGCUCGUGGAGCCUGUUUAUGCCCGUAGAUUGCUUUGUUAAUUUUGCAGACAUGAUGAGGUUUCUCUCUAUCGACAAAAUCAGCAGGCUGCUUCAUGUAAACUGUCUCGGAAAGAUCUCCAUGCAAAAUGUGUUCUUCCCAUCCAUUUGUUUGAUCUCCCAGUUCAAAACUGUUUCCAUAUGUAGAAUAGUUCAGACUGACACUGGAUUCUCGUUGUGUAAUCAAUUGAAUUCAAUGUUUAACUGAAUCAAAGGUACCAGAGCUUCCUCGACUCUCCGAAACGAUGGCAGAAAGCCGGAAACCAGAGCUCAUGCAAUGAUGAUGAAAGCCUUGGUUAAUCAGUAUCCUAGAAGCCAAAAUAUCUUUGUGGAUUCACUAGUAAAGGAAGCUAGAACCAGGUACGUAUUUUUUCAUGUAAAUCAGAAAUGGCCAGUUAAAAUUGUUCCCAGGAAUAAUUGUUUUUGACCCAAACUUGGUUUAAAAAUUUGACAGUUGACAACAAAAUAGCUAUUUUACUAACAAGUCUUCGACUCCAACGACGUGUGUAAGCAGCAAAGGUGAAUGCUCAGAACCAGCUACAGUUUUGGUUGAGUCCUCUCUUGCUUUGCCCCAAAUUACAGUGUAGAACCCAAAGCACAAUAUCAUUGAUCCAAUGACACUGCCCACAACACAAAAAAUGGUGGAAUCUAAAUCAGUUAUUUCUUUAUCAAUAAGCUUAUUAGAUAGAUAAAAUCUUCAUUACCUGCUAGAAAUGAAGAAUAUGAAAAGAUAUGGUACCUCCCAAGGUGAAGUGCAUCGCCGAGGAAAAUAGCACCCAUGGCCACUGCAAUCGCUAUAGACAAUGGCCUAAACAAGGAUACGUAGACAGGGCCUUUCAGAUGUUGACCCCAUGUGUGGGUAAGCGCGCUGAACAUUGAAACGAAGAAUCCCUGAGAAUGAAGUGUUAGUUGUUUUUAGUACUUAUUUAAGGAUCGAGUUGUUUUAAUUAAAUUUUAAUUAAUGUCUUUUCUUUUAAUCUUUAGAUACCCACUAACAAUCUCCCCAUUAGAGCACUCUUAUUGAGAGAGAGAGCAUCAGACCAUUCUUGUGAUGCAUUUAAAUGGGAACCACAUUUUAAAAAAAAAUUAUGAAAUAACUAUUUUUGCAUAUUUAUUUAAAAUAAAGUUACAAAAUAAAUGAAACUAAUUUUCUUAUAUAAACAAUCUAAUGAAAUUACAUAAUGUAUAAAUAGUUUUUAAAAAUGAUUUCAUUUAGCUGUUUGUUUUAUAAAAUGUAUAAUGAUUAUAAUACAUAAAUUUUGCAUAAAUUAUUUAAUAUAUUUUAGUGAUAUUAAAAUUGUUAUUUUUAGUUUUAUAUAAGAGCUUUAGAAAACUCAGGACCUGUUCUCAUUAAACAUUUUAAAAAAUAAUAUCAUUUAGAAGUGGACAUGUGGAUGAAAGGUUUCUGAAAAAUAUCUCAACAGUUUUCUUUACAAGAUUUUAAAAUUAAAUGAAACUUAGCAAAAGGAAAAGGAAAAAGAAAGUGAUUAAAAAGGAAACUCGGAUUUUUGAAAAUAAAGAAAGAAAAAAGAGCCGACGUAGAACCCCUCCUCUAUAUGUAUAUAGGUUAUUAGGACAAGGGCACAGCUGGAGUCAUCUGUGUAAGACGGAGUAAUGGAAGAUCUUCCGAGCAUGACCGUGAGUCAGCGCGACCAGUUUCUGGUGUUAAACGAUGUCUUCCGGAUAUACAGUGACUUUGACGCCAGCGACAUUGCUACUCAGAUAUUCACGUAAUAUCGAUUGUUUCUAAUUUGUGCUUGAUUUGAUUUUUUGGGGUUUUUGUAGUGAUUUAUAAGAUGAACCCUACUGAUCAAAGUUGUUGUAAUAGGGUGGAGAUUCAGCGCGACAAGCAGUUGGAUUAUCUGAUGAAUGGCUUAAGGCAUCUAGGCCCCUCGUUUUCGUCCUUAGAUGCUAAGUACGUAUAUUUUCUUUGUGAGAAAAGCUAUGCUUUGUAGUUGGUCUCAUGGCUAGAGUACGUUGGCGGUCAAAAUUUGCUCAUGUUCCUCGAAUUCUCUUCAUUUAAACAGUCUCUGUGUAUUCGCUGAGAGAACUUGGGUGUUCUCUUUGUAGUUUACGCACUAUGUUUUCUUAGAUACUCACAUGUUCAAGAGUUUUUUUUUAGUAAAAAUUUCGGAUGCCAAUAGAUUGAGUUGGAUUUUUUUUUUUGGACAGUCGACCAUGGAUUUGCUACUGGAUUCUUCAUUCAAUUGCUUUGCUUGGGGAGUCUGUGGACGAUGAACUAGAAAACAAUACCAUCGACUUUCUUGGACGCUGUCAGGUAAUGGCCUUUCAGGUUCCUUUGCUUUUUGUUAGCUGUCUAAGCCAAUCGUGGAAACCUUCCGAUCUAUCUCAUUCUUUAUUUUAUUUUAUUUUUCUGCUCCUCAAGUUCAUUUUUUUUUCAUAGUUUGCUUUAAUGCGUUGUUUGCCAGGGCUCUGAUGGCGGAUACGGCGGUGGUCCUGGCCAAGUAAGUAUAUGCCUAUUUCUUGAAAACUUGUGGAUCAAUAUCAGUUCAUGUGUCUGGAAACUUGAAAGGAAGACCAGAUCGUUAUAUUCUGUGAGAUCUCUCAUUGUUUAAUAUUUUAGCCGGUUUGUUUUUCAUUUUUAAUUUUCUCUCGUCCACUAGUAAUGAAUUUCCUUUCUUCGUAGCUUGCACAUCUUGCAACAAGUUAUGCUGCAGUGAAUACACUUGUUACUUUAGGAGGUGACAAAGCCCUUUCUUCAAUUAAUAGGUGGUGCAUUCGUUUUUUUUCCUGUGAUCAGUUUCUUUUCUAAGAGAACUGAUAUAGAAGACUUACAUGUGUGACAUAACUUUUCAGAGAAAAAAUGUCUAGCUUUUUAAGACGAAUGAAGGAUCCAGACGGAGGUUUCAGGUUUGGUUCUUGAACUGACAACACUCUUUUUGUAUUAUUAUUCCUGUUAAUAUCUUAGCUUUAGUCAUUUUGGUUCGUCAAUUGUUGCUCGUCUCUUUUUCUAUUCUAUGCAAUUUGUUUACACCACUCAGUCCCUGCUCGUUAGGGUGCAUGAUAUGGGAGAAAUGGAUGUGCGAGCGUGCUACCUUGCGAUUUCGGUGAGUUUUAUCAAAAUUACAGUUUCUUGUUUUCACGUUUUGGGGACACCAAAACUUGUUAGGCUCAGUGAUACCAACAACUCAGGGCCCAUUUCGCUACGUUUAUUUCAUGACUUGCAUUUGUAUAUGGUUAAUGGUCUAGUUAUUUGCACACUUGCGCUUCAAAGUCUUGCAUCCUACCGUUAGUUUUUUUUUUCCUUUGAUCUUCUGACACAGAUUGCAAGCAUCCUGAACAUUUUGGAUGAUGAACUCACCCAAGGCUUAGGAGAUUACAUUUUGAGGUAGCUAUUCGUGUUACUUUUCAAAGAUGCAAAGUCGUUACACAGUUGUAAGUCCAUGCAAAGCUCUUUUAACUCGCUUUAUUUCAAGCAGUUGCCAAACUUAUGAAGGUGGCAUUGGAGGAGAGCCUGGCUCCGAAGCUCACGCGGGGUAUGGUCUCCUACCUACUUCCUUUAUGUUGAACCCUUUAUCUAAACUGACUUUUGCAUCUCGCUUCCUCGAUGACGUGGUUAUUCAUGGCUUACUAUAAUUGAGUUUCCUUAAAUGUUGAGUUGCUACCUUCACUUAUUACCAUGUACGUUGUUGUUUAGGAACACAUACUGUGGGCUGGCUACUAUGGCUUUAAUCACUGAAGUCGACCGCUUGAACUUAGAUUCAUUAAUGGUAACAUACACAAUCUGCUUUGAGAUGAUUAAUGAAAUAACUUUACUUUUUCUUACAAAUUAAUAUUCUGAUGAUACUAGAAUUGGAUUGUACAUCAACAAGGAGUAGAAAGGGGAUUUCAAGGUCGGACGAACAAGCUGGUUGAUGGCUGCUACACUUUUUGGCAGGUCAAUCUUCUAUUCUCUUUGAUCUUUCAUAAGCUUGUUUAUGUGUUUCCAUGAAUACAUGUCCUAUACUCAUCACCUGACGUUAUUUUUUUCUCGGUACAUCUUUAACAGGCAGCCCCUUGUGUUCUACUACAGAGAUUAUAUUCAGCCCAUGAUCUGGUACUUCAAGGAUCAUUACAUAUGUCCCAACCGAGAGAUGAAGAUCACGAGGAACAUGCUCAUGAUGAAGAUGAUCCUGAAAGUGAUGACGAUGACUCUGAUGAGGACAGCAAUGAAGGUUUGCUCUUAACUUUCUCCUAUCAUCUGUCCCAUCUAAAAUUCUAAAAGGCAACUGAAUUUAGUAGCUUUGUUUGAAGAUUGUAGGAGGGUGCAACCUGUUUUUGACAGCCUCAACUUGCAGAGAUAUGUGAUCUUGUGCUCUAUGGUUGGUUCUUAGUUGCUUUAACACCAAAACAAAUAAUCCAGCCAAGUUUACUCAUGCGCGCGCGCGCACACACACACACACGUCUUCUGAUUUACUUGCACAUCUAUGUUAUUUUUUAAUAUUUUCUGUACUGGUUGUUAGGUUCCUGAAGGUGGAUUCAGAGACAAGCCGGGGAGACCCCGGGACUUCUACCACACAUGUUACUGUCUAAGCGGUCUCUCCGUGGCUCAACACGCUUGGUCAAAAGACAAAGAUACUCCGCCGUUGAAUAGUGACAUUUUGGGUAGCUAUGCUAAUCACCUUGAACAAGUUCACCUCCUCCACAACGUUGUCAUGGAUCGGUACAACAAAGCCAUAGAGUUCUUCCAUAGAGCAGUAUAAUCUGUGCUCGCCACAUUUGGGAAACUCCCAAGCCAGUAUUAGAGAGUUCUGGUUGUGUUGUAUGUGCAACUUUUGAACAAAAGUUAUAGUGUUUUACUGAUUUAACCUUGAAUUAUUGAGUUUAUUUUCACUUUAAUGUGUAUUUACAUAUAUAUUUGGUCGUACGAAUAAUUCAAAAAGUUGGAUGAUUGUUGAAAGACAUGCGUCAUUCGUCAUUGUUUUCAGGAUAUUGCCAUGUAGAUGGUGUGGAUGGUCGACUGGAUUUGGCCAUCAUUGGAAAAGAGCUGAACAUCGACCAGGAAGGUAGAGCCAAUCACGACCAGGAUGGACAACCAUAGGCUCUACCAGGAUGGACGACCGAAGCUCGAUCAGGAUGGACGACCAGAGCUCGACCAGAUUGCAGUGUCGACGAACCGAUUUGGUUGGGAAAAGAGAUGAAAAUGGAGGACAUGGAUCAGAGAUGGACAUGGACCAUAAGGAACACUUUCAUCGACCAAAUAAGCCUUUUUUUUGUAAUACAUACGAUUAUAUUAAAUCUAAAAGAGUUUAAACCAUUACAUCCGGAGCUAAGCUCAACGAUAACAAGAUAAGAACCAGAGGGAUCCUCGACGGUUUGAUGAUCAUAAAAUAUAACAUAAAACAAGUGAUAACAAAGCUAAAUGAGAGAGUCUUGCUCAUCCAUUGGAGAAUCGUGGGAAGCAUGAGAUGUAUCCCUGAAUAGGUUACUAUUACGAGCAUGAAGUAGUCGAAACCGACGUUGAUUAUACAAAACUGCAAAGUUUGGAAGGAGGUGGAAAGAGCAUGAACAGCUCUAGCUCCAACAUCGAGGUUCCACGAAGAGACUAGGUGAAUCUCAACAGAACCGGAGAAUAUAAAAGUCCUAGAUUUUACUCUGACAAACAAAUAUGAUGGACCAUGAAACCGAAUAGCGCCAGUGUCAAAAUGAGAGCUAAUGAAAACUCUACUGACCUAUGAUGGAUGUACAAAUAAUGGCAAUUUAAGCACAACAUCACGGUUUUGGGCUAGGUGAACCCUUUGCACUGAGGCGCAAUGGCAGACUGUAAACAGACAUGAUGCUUCGGAGAAAGAAUAUUAGCUCAAGUUUAUAACAAUCAGCAAGUUUAAGCUCCAUAAAUAGUUUUGGUUCAGACCAAAGCAUGUGUCGUUUGAGUACCAGCGGCUCUCGGAAGGGAUUGGGAUACGGAGGCGACACGGCAGAGGUGAGGCGAUGUUCCUGAAGAUCAACCAUGAGGGAGUGCAAACUAAGCUCCAGCUGAGAAAGUGAACUCCGAUAUUACCGUAUCGGGAUCCAUGAGGGAGUGCGAACUAAGCUCCAGCUGAGAAAGUGAACUCCGAUACAGUCAUAUCGACCAAAAGAGCCUAAUUUAGUGUUUCUAUGAUAUUUAUAUUCUCCUGGAUUUAGAGAUCAUAAUUACGCUUUCUUAUAAAUAAAUGGUAAUUAUAUAGAUCUGUUCAUAAUUGUUUUUCAUAAACUGACCACAAACUAUUUAUUUCAUAAAUGUUAAUAUGUUUUAAUGAUAAAUCUAUAAUUGUUACCAAAGAAAGCGUACGUACAUAUGCUAUUGCAACAACCUAUGCUUCUCAUAACCAACGUAUUCUAUAAUAGCAAUGAUACAACUUGAUUAAUAUCUUAAAAGCAUGAUUAUUCGAUAUUAAAAUGGAAUCUACUAAUUAAAUUAUUCCAGUCGUCAUCUUAUUCUUGAAGUACAAACACGUACGAUAACUUUUAAUUUUCAAGGAACUGAGUCCAAGCACCAGCAGUAAUAGUCUGACCCGGAAAGGUUGAGCAACUCAUCCUCUGACAUACUCUCAAGCUCGCUCUGUCUCCAGGACGCAUAGUUAUUUGUGUUAUGCGUGUCUGAGGCCAACGGAUAAGCAUCCGUCUUGUGUUUUUGAUUUCGCAUUCUUUUGUACAGCCUCAUCGUCGUGACACAGUCCUCAUAAGGAUCUUGCAUCCCCACAUGAAUGUCAUACCUUUAGAAGGUCGGAAAAGAUAGAAAUGAGAUCAAUUUAAACAGUCUUAUUUUAGAUCAAAAUAAGGAAAUAGCAUAAACUUUUAUAAAUUAAUAAUGUACUGUAAAUCCAAUUCCUAAUAUUAUUUUAUGACCUCAAAGUUUAUUAUUUAUAAACCCUAAACCAUAAAAAUACCAUAUGCACUGAAAAUGAAGCCUAUAUUAGAAACCAUAACUUCUAGAGCCUAAUAACAGAGAUGGGCCUGAGGCCCAUGAUCAACAUAAACCGAAGUUGCAGAGUUACAAGGCAACGGUCAUGUGCUCUGGAAACAAGACAAAAGACAGUACGGGAGCUGCAAUUAAAACAGAGAACAGGUUUUCAGUGCUUGAAGAUAAGGAUGGCUAGCUGGAGAAGAAUAUCCUAAGUAUAUUCCUUUAGGUUUAGAUGUCUCUGAGCUCUGUUCUCUUUAGUAUAUAAAGACAUCUAUUGUAAAGAACGAUGGGAUGAAUGAAAGUAUGUUUAUUUGAGUAAAGCUUUGUUCAUCACUUAAGUAAAGCUUCAAGCUUUCCUCUUUCUUACAGAGCCUACCACUAAUCAAUGGCGGAGAGUGUGUUAUGAAGGGGUCAAGUGACACCCAUAAAGUUUAUGAAAACAAUUUAUUUUUACCAAAUAAAUUAUGUUGACUCCAACCAAAAAAGAAUAUUGACCCCUAUCAAAAUUUUAUUAAAGUAGUCUAGUUGUGAUGUUAUAAGUUAUUUUCUGUCACUGCCACUAAUCCGAAAUCCUGAACAAAGAUGAAAUAUAUUUCUUUAGUUUAAAAUAUACAGAAAUUUUUUACUGCAUUGUAUAUUUUAGGAAAAAUAAUAAUCUAUUUUUUUUUGUUUUGUGUCUUUAGGAUAACCUUUAUAAAACGAGGGGAGCAAAUUAGAAAUUCGAAACUUUUGGUUAUGAAUAAAAGAUACGAAGUAUGAGGUAGAGACAUAGAAAUCGUAGAGAUAUCAGUUAUUCGAAAUAUUCCUAGGAUUAUCAUCGGUUGAUUUAUUCGAAUUUUUAAGAAACUUUUUAGCUAAUCAGCAUAUUGUACUUUACACGGAUUAAAAACUUUUAAUCACGUCAUAAGUACAUCGGAUACCUACUUUAUAGUUGUUACGUCCGAAUAUUACACACAGCAAAUUAAAAUAAAAUUAUAGAAACUUGUAAUCUGUAUACAUGCAUGGUUUAGUAGACAAACCUUUUCCGAGUUGAAUAAUUGUUUUAUGAAUUAUGGAAUCUUUGAUAGUAGGUUUGAUCAGAUGAACUACAGAAUUUUUGUUUAAGUAAAGUUAUAUUUACCAACUUGUGGCGAAUAUUUUUAAAAUUAUAUACAGAUGAGCUGAAAUUAAAUUUCAAAAAUGUACCCAUUCAUGUUUAUGGGUCUUUCAAUUUUGUAAAAUUGAAAGAAAAAAGAGAUGCAAAAAAGAAGAAGAAUAUUUACCCCAGAUAGGCUUGGGUUAAGUACUUGAGCGAGUUGCUUAGCUUGCUUGUUUUCAUCAAUGGAGGGUAUUCCGCAGUAUCUCUUUACAAAUAAACAUAAUAUGUCUUAUCAUACAUAUUCUAUUUAUUAAUGAUCAUAUAUUAUGAAUCAAAUUCGGACUAAUCUGCACCAGUGGUACGAGUGAAAAUUGUCGUUACCAUCCAAAAAAAUUGUGUAGUAAAAGGUAUAUUUACCUUAUCAUGAAAGAAGAAUAUUCAAGUUGAAGACAGUCAAGAUGGCUAUCAAGUCCAUGUCCCACGAGAAUCCUCGCUUUUCCACUUCUUGGACGAAUCUUCCACAUUGGUUCUCCAUAACAAAGAAACUCCUUAAUCUUUCUCUGUGCUUGUUUCAAUGGCAUCGCGUCCCUUAUAUUCUCAGGUCGUAUUCCUGUAGUCUCGUACCUGUAAUUCGUUAUGGGCAAUGUUGGCUUCACGUACGUGUGAAAAAUCACGUUUUCGCUCUCAUCUGUUAUGCAAACUCUCGCGCAUAGGUCAAGCGAUCCAUCACUCCCUCCUCCAACCAUCUUGCAUGAGAGUGCGACCACUCGUGGUGACCUGGAAGAAGUGUAAUCAAUUGUAGGAUUAUCUCUUAGGCCUAAGACCGCCAUACGAGCAGUUAGUCCCUGAAAUGUUACUUAGAUAUUAGUAUCAAGCAACAAAUAGAAAGAAUAUACUGUUUUAUUUCAUUUAUGUCUAAUACAGUAUUGUGUUUUUAUUUAAGUUAUCAUUUGCAAAAUUAUUUACAAAAUAAAAUAUUUCAUCACAAAAUGAAAUCGUUGGUUGAUGCUGUAAAUGUUCUAGACAGCCAAAAUUUAGUCUAGAGUCAUAUAUGUCAACCAAUCGAGCUUUCAUUUCUUUCAAAAACUCACAACAAAAAAAACUCUGCAAAAUUAAAAUGUGGGUAUAUAAAGCUUUAUUUCCAGAGAAAAAAUGCUUUACAAAUAUACAGAAAAAUAAUCUACAUCACAUAAAUCUACAACUUAAAUUUUAUAGCCAAAAAUAUAAAGCUAGAGUUCAUCCCAAUCACCUGAGUAAACACAAAAAGAUGCACAAAAUGCUUGUUUUGUGUCUGAAAUCGAGACCUAUAGCAAUAUGCUGUAGUUAAUUCAUUUAUGCAAAUAUUAACUUAUGUGUAUAAUUACAUAAUUGACGUUUGAGAAUUGGCAUCUCUCCUGAUGGAUCCUACGAGCGUUGGGGCUUUCAAGGAUCGUAAGGCAGAAUCUGCAGCCGCAGAUGCUGAAAAUGUUCUUACAUUCCUGUUUCGGCAAUGGCCCUACAUACAAUAUGAUUUUAAAUGAAAUUAGAAAGCCAAAUUAGAGAGUCAGAGAGUAGAUAUAUAGAGGUUAGAGAUAUACCAAUGAGAUGUUCACGGAGGGAAUCAAAAGAUCGGCAGUGUUUGUUGCAAAUGCCACAUGUAGGUUCAUGAACCGAAUGGUAAGACGUCCUCAUGUGUUCCACCAAAUGUUCUUUCUUGUUGAAUUGCCUAUAACACCCUCCACACUUGUUCCUGCAUCCAUGCAUACUUUUUUAUCAUUGUUUAUCUCGCAAUUUUUCUUUUUGAUAACUAGAGGAUUUCCAAAUCAAAAUCCAGAUGAUUUGAUGGGGUACAUUAACAGUCUAGUUUUCCUACUACUUUUUUUUUUUUGAUCAAACAAAGCAUUGCAUUACUUAAAGGGGGUUCUACACUCCAACAGUGGAGUGGGUUACAGACAUAGCAAGCACUGAUUUUGCCACAGAAUCAGCCUCAGAGUUGAAGUUUCAAGAAAUAAAAUCAAAGGUGAUAACAUCAAAGAAAGACAUAAAGUGAUAGAUAUCAAACAUGAUACCGAACAGUUCAGGUUGAUACCAUCCCUUCUUCAAGAGCUUGAUCAGAGAUAAGGAAUCGGAUAGAACCGCCAGGGAUCGGACGUUUGAAUAAACGGCUAGAGAAACCGCUCGAUGGACAGCAAUGGCUUCUGCCAUUAAAGCUGAUGAUACAUGGCUGUGUGCUUCAGAGAUGUUGGAGAGGUAUGGUGUCGAAAGUAGUUUUCCUACUACUUAAAGCCUCUAUAUGGGCGAAUAUGAUUAGUGAUAUUUGUUUCACAAUUAUUUUAUUUCACACUAAAUACACAAUAUAUUUUAUAGUAUUCUUACGGUACAUUUAGUUUUUCUAAGAAUGUAAAUAUAAGUUUAGGUGUUACAGAUUUGUGUAUUGAUUGUCCUAUUUCUUUUACCUAACUUAAGUUACUUAUAGUUUAUGUUCCAAAUUUAUUGGAUGUUGAUGGUAGUAGUAAAACAUACAUGUGAGAAAGGAAAGCUUAUUCAAUCUUUUUUUUGGGUGUAAAUAACCUUAUUCAAUCAGCUGAUCGAAGAUGGUAUAACUUAUAUCCAAAGAAAACCAAAAUUUAACACAAUAGCACAAAAAAGUACCUUUGGGUUUCUGAGAGCUCCCCUGACAGUCUGUAGUCCAUUGUAAAUUGAGCAAGCAGUUUUUGUGUCAAUAGAGUUUGCUUUGAUGGGUUUAUUUUUGUUUAUGCCAACUUGUGCAUGUGGAGAUUGGAGGAUAAAUUAGAAUGUGUUUAUAUAGGCAAAUCCUGAGGAAUAAAAAAAAUCUCAGAAAAAAGUUUAACUAAAAAGGCAAAGUCAGAUGAUUCCCCUGACUAAAAAUUUAACUAAAAGUCACAGUUUUUUUUGUGGUUACGGGGUUCAAGUUCUUAUUUAUUGUUGUCAAUACGAUCGAAUCUAAAAUACUCAAGAAAUUUAUUCAGUUCACGAUAGUGUCGCUAUAUCUUGGGAAAGACAGCGCUCUCACCUGGACUAAACUUUCACUAGAAAGCUUAUCUGGUGUAGAUUAAAGUCAAUCACAAGCUUAGUAACCGAUAAAAUAGUCUAAGAGCAGCUCUAAAGGGAAAACUUGAGUGGGUAUCAUUAUAAUUAAAAAUAAAGAAAAAAAAUGGAAAUGAAAAGAGAGAAUAUGAAGAAGUUUUUAAUUAGGAGAUUUAAAGAAACUCAGAAUUUAAAUGUCAAUUGUUUGUUAGUUUAACUUAAAAAAAAUUAUUUAAAAUUUGACUUCAAAAAAAUUAUUUAAAAUUUAGGAUAUUUUUUUAAGAAUCUCAAUGAGGUUUUACCAUUGAGACUGCUUUUUUUCUAGUGGUUAUACCGAUGCGGACAAGAACGCUAGACUAUCGAAUUCUGGAAUCUCCUAUGAUUCUUUCUCUGUUUUUUUUUCUGUUUGUAAACCCAUUAAUGUGUGACAGCUUAACAUAUCAAUAGUCAUCCUUCUUUAAGCUACCUUAGAUCCAUUAGCCCAAACAGAUCCAUUCUGCUGUAAACGCUUAAAGUCCAAUUUAGGCCCAAUAGAGUUUCGGUAUAGACACGUUAAUUCCAUAACCUCUACCUUGUUUUCAUCAAAACUUAUCAUUUCAGACAACCCUCCAAAAGCUUAGUGAAUCUCUGACGAACUCCUUUUGUCUUCUACUCUUUUUCUACUUAUCUUGACGUCUCUCUUUCAUCACAUAUGAUGAAACUGAGCUACACAACACAGCUACACCUUCAAGAUAUCACAUUUUAUAUUCUUGUUUCAAUUCCUUUUCUUCCCAAGUCUGAACCGCCAAACUGACAACCCCUUCUUCCGACUUCCCUAACCCUUUAGGAUGACAAAGUUGGCCGCAUAUAGGCUCAAGCUUCCGCUUACACCUCUGGUAAGAGGUAAACACUUCUUCUUACUUAUUUCUCCAAAUCUGAGGUAGAUCUAAAUAUGCAAACCGAUGAUCUUUAUUUUAUCAGUAGAACUCAACCUUUUGCCUUUUAAAACUGACUUAUACCUUCUUAUUCGCUGCAAUAUGAGAAUCAUCGAGACAUCUCAUCAGCCGCAUGUUGCAUGGAACCUGCGAACUUUGACAAACACCAAAUCCUUCUCCAGUGUCUUCCCAAGUACGGUCUUUGUUAGGAUAUCAGCUAGGUUUAGCGUAGUAUGAAUCUAAACCAUUAUCCUGCUUCCAUCGGCAAUUACAUUUCAAAUAAAAUUGAACUUUGUACGUAUGUGUUUAGUUCUUUUGUAAAAGCCUCUAUUCUUUACCAAAAAUAUAGCUGACUGUGAUUCACAGUUAACUUUAACUGCUCAUGUAUCAUGGCUUAGAUCAUCACACAUACCCUUAAUCCAUAAGAACUAGUCUUCGUACUGAGACUAUAACUCUUAAGGAAGAAAAUCAAUUCUAAUGAAAUCAUCGCUGAAAUUGAUAUCUCAUUUAAAUAGAAAGAUUUCAAAUAUCUGAAAUUUAUUUUUGUAUAUUAUAUGGAUGAUCCGAACCGCAAGGAACACCUCUUCAGUAGCUUUAGUUAAGGUCAUCUACUCUGACUCUAUAGUAAAGAGAGAAAUUAUUAGUUCGAGCUCCAAUCUCAAGCUAAUAGUAUUACCCUCAUACGUGAAAAUAUAGCCAGUAAUUAAUCUCAUUUUGUGGAGAUCAGUUGUAUAAUCUAGAUCACAGAAUCCUUCCACCUCAAACUUUGCUUCUUUCAAACAAUUCAAGGAAAAAUCAGUUGUUUCUCAAAUGUAAAUUAAAAUCCAUUUCACUUUCUCUUAGUGUUCUCUAUCUGAAUUUCCCAUAAACCUGCUCACAAUCACAGAAUCCCUCCAACUGCACUUGCAUACAUAAUUUCUCUCAUCUACUCUGGUUCCUCUUUGCUUCUUCUUAGCUCAUACUUUUCAGGUUGAAUUGAUACCCUAAUGGAGUAGAAAUUGGUUUGCAAUACGCAAUGGUCAAAGUUGAGAGCACAUGUUCUAAUUAUUUUCUUUGAGAAAACUUCAGUGAACCUUCUUCAGAAUUUCUUGUACUAUAUACACACCUAAGAUCCUUGUUGCAGCUCACAAAUAUUUCAUUUCAUACUUGUGAGAAUCAUUUGGCAACCAAUCUCGUCUUGAACCUUUGUUGGUCAACUCAUGAGAUGUCUAGUUUCUUUCUAUAAACCCACUUGCAUCCAAUUACCAUUUUCUUUCUUGUCUUUUCACAAUAUCUCAAGUAGCAUCUCUGUCAAGCGAAUCAAUUUACUCUUUACAGGCUGAACCCUGCUUAUAUAUCUUAAGAGCUUAGACAUGGAUUAAGUUUUUGUUUCGAUAAGUUUACAAAGAGCAAUAACAUUAAUUCAGAAUUGGCUAAAGACACUUUGCUCACAAAUAUUAUUUUCAAGUAAUCAAGUCAACUCCUUUGCAUUCAAUUCACCUAAUAUAUCAUGAAGUAGGUGAUCAUUAAGGUUCAAGCAAUAAGAACAAUCCAAGUGAAGAACUCUAAUGAAGAUUUCUUAAAACAAACAAUUUUAAACAUUCAUUUUUUUGAAUUUCUUUUCUCACACAAGUGAUACAACAAUGGUGACUCUGGGGUAUCAGAGAAUAAGAGUACAAAAGUAAUCGAUCAUAAUGGUGACGUGAUCUUUGGCAAGUAUCAAGUGUCUUUAAAAUCAUAUUUAAUGUCCCGACCUCCUUUAUGUUUUUGCUUUGACCGUGUCAGUUCAGUGUGGCUUGUCUUCCUAGCUCGGGACGGACCUUCAACUUCCGUGGGCAUAUUAUCUCCUUGUCGGGCUUUUGUGAUACUGGACCGGAUUUUUGAACUUGGUUUGGACACAGUUAACAGAGGAACCAACUUACCGCCUCUGUGCAAGUUGGUUACCGCUACAAAAAAAAAAAAUGAAAACAAUAAGAUUUGGUUUAGAGAAAAACAAAAGGAAAAAUUCGAAAAAGCUUUUAAGAAGAAAAAGUGGAAAGAGAGUUGUGCUUUAGUUCUCUUACAAUCGCAGCCACCGAUGUGUUUUUCACCUAUGAAUACAUUGGGAACGGUGCGUUGUCCUGUCCAUUCUGCAAGAGCUGAUUGAACUUGGGCACCAUCACCUUUAUUAUAAAUAACAAGAGCAAUGAACAAUGGUUGAGUAUGGAUUCUCUGAAUCAAAUUAAUAUACACAUCUGAGUGUAAUGAUCCCAGAACGAAACCUAAUGGAAAACCUAACUCGAAUCUUUAGAGAAAAGAGAUAAAAUUAUGAAUGAUGGGCUCGUGAGCAGAAGGAUCAAACCAAAAAAAAAAACUUAACCUGUAAGAGAAAGCAGAGAGACAUUUUAGAUAUAUAUACUUGGAUAGGAAUCAAUAACUAAACAAGAAACUCCAAAGCAACCAACGUUGAAUUGGCCUAGUGAUAAAGGAGUUAUAGUUGUAAUUACCGCCACCCGGAUUCAAUUCACGGUGAAAUGGACUAUUUACAAUGUUUGGUUUCCCGGCAAAGAGAUAAAACUACAUUUUUAUUUAACAUGUUUACCAAAAAAAAAAAAAAACUCUAGAGCAGGCGUAUAGUUGGAUGAAACAGAGGAUAGAAGAGAAGAAAACAAUCACAAAGUUUCUGGAAGUAAAAGCAGAGAAGCCUUUGAUUUUGAGAUCAUAAAAAAUGAAAUGAUUAUGCGAUGAAGAUUGGGGAUUAUUACUUUCUUUGUCGAGCUCAACUGCGAUGAAUUUAGCUCCCAGUUUCUUCAAAAGAUCUUUCACUUUCACACAGUAUGGGCAAUACGACUUGCUGCAAAAAAAUAUAAAACCCAUCAAAAUACAAAGACUCCCUUUGGUUGAUAAUCGUAAUCAUACACACAAUCAAAGCCUUCACAAACAAAAAAAACGUGAGUCGAGAAGAGACGGACCUGAAAACAACGACAACAUUGCUGGAAACGAUCUCUUUAGCCUUCUUCAUCGCCAUCUUUAACUUUAGAUUCGCUUUUCUUGGUUUCUCAGGAAUGUUGGGAGAAGAAGCGAAUCAAUCCGCUUUAUCGAAACGCAGUUGCAGACUUUUGUCAUCAGUCAACUAUAUGAAACGCUUGUUUCAUAUAUCAGCCGUCGAUUUUGAAACGUAUUUUUUUGGAGGGGGUUAAUAAAAAUAAAAAAUAAAUACUUUCGCAGUUUCCUUUUAAAAAAGGUGGCAAAACAAAAUCAAAUAUUUUUAUAGUUAGCUAAAUGAACAUAUUUUUUAAAAAAAUGGUCUCCUUGAAUUUAUUGGUUUGUUGUUCCAAUCUUUAUUGGUUUGUAAUGCGUGAAGCUGGUCCAAAAAUUUGGGGAGUACUGGAAAACCAGUGUUUUUAUCAAAUUAGUAUUAUUAAUACUAGGUAAAGAACCCGUGCGAUAUCGCACGUGAACUCAUUUUAUAAAGAAAAGCAAAAUUAUAUAAUUGACUUUUGGGAUAUUAAAAAUAUAUAUUUUGUUUGUAGGUUGGUUGUAUUAAAAUUACAAAUAUGUCAAUAUUAGAUAAGAUAUAUGUCUUAUUAUCUGUUUAGCUAAAUUAUUUAGGAAUAUCAAAAACAACUGAAACUAACUAAAAGUAAACACAUUCAAAUUUAAUCAUUUUCUAAAUUAAUAAGGUAGCUUAUGACGACUAAUUGAAGUAAAAAAAAACACACCUUUUCAUCUGAUAGAAGAAAAUUAAGACUAAUAAUUUCAUUAUUUUGUUUUAGAUUUUUUUUUGCUAUCCAAACAUGAAUGAUCCUUCCUAUUAUCCUUUGUUGACAACAUUUCAUCUGAAAAUAUUCAAAAAUUUGUAAUCAGUUAACUACACAUAACCUGUUUUCUUCACUGAAAGAUUUACAAUAAAAAACUUAUAGAUAUGACCUAUUUAUAGUUUUGCAAAGAACUAUAUGAAUAGUUACAAUUUUUAAAUUCGAGAUAUAUUUAUUGUAAGAUAAUAUAUUUACAAUAUAUUUUGAAUAUACACAUCAUUACAAAAAAAAACACCUUAUUGCAUAAUGAAAAGACACAACUAUUCAAUUUUUAGAAACACAUUUUGGAUAUUUUAAUCUUUUUUAAAACUAAUUAAAAAGACACUACUCUUAAAACUAAUACAUUUUAGAGAUGAUGUUAAAAACACAUCUAUAUUUUUAACAAUUUUUAAUUAUGAUUUGCCAAUUAUCUUAACUUCCUAUACAAAAAGUUAAAAGUUGCAACGUUAACAGCCAAACAUCACAAUAGUUACAUAAGAGUAUUGUUAACACCAAAAUUUAUAAUGGUUCAUCACCAGAAUAUAUCAUUACCAAAAGUUCCAAUGUUAUAAUUGUUCAUCACCAAAGUCUAUAAUCACCAAUAAUUGCCAUAAUUUAUAAAUAUAUAAUAUUAUAAAAUAACUAAAAUUUAUAAUGAAUUACUUAUAUAUAUAGAAAUAAACUAUUUAUAGUCUCUCAAAAUUCUAUAUGAAUGGCCACAACUUUCAUAUUUGAAAUAAUUAUUUUUAGAUAUUACAUUUAGCUUAAAGAGACACAUUUUGGAUGUGUAGACACAUUCUUACCAUGAAAGACACAUCUACACAUACUUUCACAAUUUUUCAAAUAGUUACAUAGUAAAAAUACAUAUCUCAUUUUAAAAUGAAAAGACACAUCUUAAACUUUUUUUAUAUUUUUUAUAAUUAUUUUGAAAGUAUUUUUUUUCUAUAUAUAAUAGCAACCCUUUUUUAUUUGAGAAGUUCAAACUUAUGUAUAUUAUAUAUUAUUAAAUUGCUUACUUUUAAUCAGUCGGAGCCGUUUGAUCACCCAUCAUGCAUCUAUUAUCUUCGUUUUUUCUUUUGCUUUUCUUCCCCUUUUUAAUUUUUUUUGAUAUACUUUUUAGACCAGAUAUAAUUUAACCAGAUAAUUAUGUUGAUUCAUAUUUUUUUACAUAUGCCACAACUUGAAUUUGACUUGACAAUUUUACUUAUCUUGACAAAUUUUUUAAAAAAAAUUAUUGAAAAGUUUAGAGAAAAAAAACAGGAAGUAUUAAUAAGAAGAUUCAGCACUUCAAUACUUUUUCCGGAAAAUCAAUUUAUUGAUAUCAGAAAUGUUUUACAACAAAGUUCAAGACCAAUAGAGAAAAACCAUUACAACAAUAUAUUGAAAUUGAAAAUUAAGCAAGAGAAAUGAAAUAUAACCAAGCUUUCCGAAUGAAUGUCUUACUGGCCAACAGAUGCAAUCUGUUUAUAUUCUUUUCGUAUUCAACUUCGAUUGGAUGUGGAUACUGUUAAAGUUUGUUGACCACAUCAUUUAAAAUCUAAUUUAUGAAAUGAUUCUAAUAUUUCCACGCGGCGAUACCACAUAAAUUGGAUCGGAAUUUGUCUUUGUUGAAAAUCUUCUUCUUUUCCUGCAACGCCUUUUUUUGUUUAUGUUGUUGAAUCAAUUUUCCAUUGAUAAAUCUGCCUUUAUCAAUUCUCCAAUGACUUUUCCAUCUUCUUCUCAUUCGAUUGUACUGAAGAAUGCAUAGUCUAACUGAGAAAAAAAAAUAUAAAGUACCGCAGUUUUCCCCUCUGUAGCUUUCGAAUAUUCUCGUAAUCGUUUAUCACGAGAUUCAUCACUCCGUUUGCAAAGAUCAUAAGGGUAAUUCCUGGAUCCCAAAUCUGAUCAUGCACCACCUCUUCUGAUUUUAAGAUAUGAUCAUCACAAUCAAUUAUGCCUCAGAAAAAGAAGAAACGAACCGGUUCAAACAUGAACCAACAACAGCCAUGUGAAGAAUUCUCCACCGGAAAUAAGCCGACACAUUCUUCUCUGAAUAAUCUAUUGAAGUUGGUCGGAAUGACGUUUGCUUGACAAAAGAGAAAGGGAAGAAGGCAUUGAAAGCAUCAACAAAAACAACAUGACAUUGAUGAUGGUCAUCAUUCAAUGAUUUAUUUGUUGUGGAAUUAAGUAACAAUGCACAAGAUACCAAGAGGCGUACAGCCGACGUUCGGCUGGUGAAAGUGCGAUGAAAGACGUUAGUUACAGAAUCGCUUGGAAUAUCUGAUAUGACAGGAAACAGAGAAGAAAAAAGAAGAAAGAAACUUUCUUACGUACCUUAUUCAUAACCAAAAAUUUGUUUUAGACCAUCUCCAAUGUAUUUUGCUAUUUUCAUCUCUAAAAUAGAGGAACUCUAUAAUAGAGAUGGGAUGUGCUCCAAUGUAUUCCUCUAAAAUAGCAAUCUCUAAAUAUAGAGUAAAAAAUAGAGGAAUGCUAUUUCUUCCUCUAUAAAUAGAGGAAAAAAUAGAGAUCUCUAUUAUAGAGAAAGAAAUAGAGGUGGGUUUGAGCAAUUUCACCUCUAAAUUCUAUUAUAGAGGUGAAAAUAGCAAUGGGUUGGAGAUGCUCU